AUACUAUCAGUAGCACGAAAGCCUCCGUGCUACCAAGUUAUUUUCGACAUUGCGGUUUCCAAAUCAACGAUCAACUCCGUUAGACUUGAUCUACACUAUUGAAAGUAUUUAAAAACUAAAUCUUAUAAUUUUUCGAUAUCAUUUACAUAUCAAACGAGUAGUCUAAAAAUGAACAGCUGAAAAUAAAAAUAUCAUAAAAAAUGAUGAUAAAAGACUUGAAUUUAAGAUUAGAAGUACUGAUCUUAUUUUAAAAGUGAAAAAAAAUAUCUAUAAAAAUUUUAUCAGAUUUGAAUUGUUUUAUACCGUUAAAUUGACAAACGCAUCACAUCGAUCAUUAAAAUUGUCAAUUUUGAGACAUUUUGAUCACUAGCCAAAUGAUAUUGAAAAAUUAUGAAAUUUAGUUUCCAAAUGCUUUUAAUAGUGUAGAUCAAGUCUAACAGAGCCGAUCGUUGAUUUGGAAGCCGCAUCAUUGAAAACUACUUGCUAACACGGAGGCCUCCGUGUUAUCGAUAGUAUACUAGCCUAGCGCUCUCUCGCUCUCUCUCUCUCUCUCUCUCUCUCUCUCUCUCUCUCUCUAUAUAUAUAUAUAUAUAUAUAUAUAUAUGUGUGUGUGUGUGUGUGUGUUCUUCUUAGUGAUAUAAAUAUUUGAUGCCCCACUUUAUUUAUGCUUGUAGAGGAUAGAAAGAUUCUUUAUUGUAGGAAGGAGGUAAUCUGUGAUGCUACUUAGCGGAGGCCAAAAUAUUUUCCCUGAUAGGUCUAAAAUAUUAGUAGUAUUGCAACAAGUCUUCUAUAGUUCCUGGAGUGCUAGACUUGCAUGUUGUUGAUGGGUCGGCAGACAUAAUGAUACGACCGACUAUUCAUUAGUUUGUGUAUGCAGUCUAAAUUGCUGUAUGGGUUUGCCAGCACGUUGGAAGGAGAUUCUUCGUCCGGCGGACACACAACAUUUUGAAGUAUUUAAUCUCAAAUCCAUCGCAUUCUUUCUAGCUCAUUGCUUUCCGAGGUAAGUGAUGAUUUGAGCGGAGGGUUGAAAUCAAUUUUUGCUUCGUUGGAGAUACGGCAAUGGCGAUCUCUACAAUGGUUCUCGACUUGGCCUAUGAGAUCUGAAUACUUGGUACGUCUAUUGUUGUCUCUACCUGUUUCUUUUUAUUAUUUUUAUUAUAGAGAGGAUUGUAUAAAAGAGAAGGGAGGGUUAUUGGAUAUGUGUACCUAAUCGGCUAUUUCUACACUUGGAACGCAGUUUCUCGGCAGUUUAUUUUUUAAAAAAUUUUCUUUUUUAUAACAUUCAAAUUUGAUAGGAGUAAACUAAGGGUUAAGGUGUCGUGGCCGUGCCAGGACAUAGUAGUAGAUUUUUAACAUAUAUAAUAUAAAAUUAAAUUUUGAAAUUUUUUUAAAAUAAUUAUAAAUAUUAGUUAUGUAUAGUUUACUACCUAUAACAAUUAAUAUAGUGGUAGAUUUUUUAGAUGUGUAUAUAAAAUAAAAUAUGACUAUGACUUACAGGAAAUGAAAAGUAAAAAUUGAUUAACUUUAAAUUUUUUUUUCAAUUCUAUUUUUAUUCGAACUUACAAAAAUUAUAAAAUAUAAAAUUAGAAAAAAAUUAUUUUUUAAAUUUUUUAUAGAAUUUGUAUGAUUCAUCAAUAUGACGAGAGAUUUCAUGAUGACUAGGUUAAAUAGAAUUGAAAAAAAAAUUUAAAGUUAAUCAAUUUUUACUUUUCAUUUCCUGUAAGUCAUAGUCAUAUUUUAUUUUAUAUACACAUCUAAAAAANUAUUUAAUUAUUUCAGUGUUUUGUUUAAUUUUUAAAAAAUAUUUAUUUGAAAUUUGAAGGGAAAAAUUAUUUUUUACUAAAUUUUUUUUAAAAGAAUUGUAAAAUCUUAUGUAAAUAUGUAACAAUAAACUAUAUGACGAAUAAUUAAAUAAAUUUAAAUAUUAAAUUAUUUAAAUUUAAUUUUUUAUAUUUAUUAGUAUUUUUUAUUUUCUAAAUUUAAAAAUUGAAUUUUCAAAGUUGAAAAUUUUUUUAUUGCAAAUCUCAGAGGCCACUUUGCAUAAGAAGUUUAUUGGUUUUGAAAUUUUGCAAAUAUGGACUAUCUUUUUCGUUUUUGUAGAUAUGGUCUGAAUUUUCAGUAAAUGGAUAGAUUUUUUUUUUUUCCUCUUGUUCGUUAUUUUUUGCUACCAUUUCGUCUUCCCACUCUUCUUCUUUGCUUCUUCUCCAUUUUCCUCUUCCACUCUUUAACCUGGCCGUCAAUGCGGAGGUGAGCGUGUUGCGGAGCGCAUGGCUACAGAUGCCGAUAGCAACGAGGAUACCAAAGAAUUUAAAGACGAUUGAGUGGGAGUGUCAAGCAAGGGAGGAAGAGCAAUAGCCGAAAAAAAAUAUAUAGGUGGAAAAAAAAUAUAUUUUUUCUCUAGGGAAGAUUAUAUGUUGUCACUGCUAUAGAAAAUGACAAGAAAAAAAAUAAUAUUAUUUAAGACAAAAGUAUAAAGUUGUAUUUUUUUUAUACAAAAGUUGUACUUUUUGAAACGAAAGUUGUAUUGUUUAAAUAAAAAUUGCAGUAUACAAAAUAAAAGUUACACUGUUUUAGACUAUUGAACUGUUUGAGGCUAAGUUUCAAAUAGUAUAACUUAGUUUUAAAUAAUUUUAAAUGGUACAAUUUUUUUUAAAAAGUGCAAAUUUUAUUUUAUAUGGUCUCAAAUGAUUUUAAAUAGUGCAAUUUUUGUUAAAAAAAAUAUAAUUUUCGUUUAAAAAAUAUAAUUUUCAUCUCAAAUAAUAAAAUUUUCAUUCAAAUAGUACAAUUUUUAUCUAAAUAAUAUAAUUUUCACUCGAAAAGUCUAAAUUUUAUCUCAAAAAGUAUAAUUUUUAUCUCAAAAAAUAUAAUAUUUAUCUUAAACAAUGUAAUUUUAUUUUCUUUUCUUUUUAAUUUUUGAUCUUUUCUUUUUCUUCUUUCCUCUUUGAUUUUUGACCUUUCUAUAACAGCGUUGGAAGGAAAAUAUAUAUAUAUAUAUAUACUUUUCUAUUUUUUAUUAUUUCUUUUUUUUUUUUCACCGUUUGGAUUUCUUUUUUUUAAUCGCCGUUGCCAUCCAUUGCCAUAGACUUCACCGGAAGCUCACCUUUGCGAUCAAUGCCGUAUCAAUUCAGAAAAAUAUUAGUGAUAAUCUACAUGAUGCAGUGGCUUCGGUGAACACACCCCCACCCCCCCACCCCCCAAAAAAAAACUAUUCAUCAUGACGAGUAUAAAAAUAUUAAGCGCUUUCUAAAAAAUACUUAAUCAAGCUCAUAAAAAAAGACAAGAACAAGGCUCAUCUUUUGUGCUCCUUGGAGAAGCGGAAGUGCGUCUUCGUUCUCACCCUCACGGGCGACGACGAGCAUCGCCUCAGCCACGAUCUCAUUACCUCCACCCGCUUUACCCCUGCUCAUGCCCACUUUGAGUCCUUUUUGAGCACCCAUCAUAGGGAGAGAAGGCAUCGCAAAGGACCGCAGCAGACAUGGCGGAGGAGAUGAUGAGGGUCGGAGAGAAAAAGACGAAGAAGAAAAAAAACGAGAAAAAUAAAUAAAAGUAUUUUAAUCAAUUUGCUGAAAAUUCAGAUCAAAUCUGAAAAAAAAAAAAAGAAAAAAAAACACUCACUAUUGCAAAAUUUCAAAAUCAUUAAGUUUUUUAUGCAAAUUGGCCAGCCUCAAAUUCAGUACUAGAUUUAUUUAAAAUAAUUUAAAAUUAAAUUACAUAAUGGCUUUAUCAAGUAUAUUUAUUUUUAAAUUUUUAUAAAUUAUAAAUAAAUAAAGAGUCCUGCUGCUAUGCUAUCGAUAGCACCAAGCACUUAAUGCUAUUAAGUUUUCAGCCGUUAGAUUAACCCAUUUGAUUAUUUUUACCUGUUAGAUUAUACUAUUCAACCAACCACCCACUCACCCCUAAGAAGACCCACAUCAUCCUAACCGCACAUCUUUUAAUCCAAUGGUGAAAAACUUAAUAGCACUAAGUUAUUGGUGCUAUUAAUAGUAUUCUAGCCUAGUUCAUAAAUAUUUGCAUAACUUCAUAUUUCUUCAAAACAAAAACUUUACAAGCCAGAACAUUCAAAAUAUAUGAAAAAAAUAAAAUUAUAAUUUUUUUUACUUACCUAAUAAGCAUAUCUUCAAUUUGCUAUUUUUUUACCUUUUCUCUUAAGAUCAAAAUGAUCAAAGCAGAAAUAAAAAAAAAAAAAUAAAAGAAAAAAUAAGAAAAAAUAUUAUGAAAAAAAAGGAGGAAAAAAUAGAAGAAAAAAAAAAGACGAAGAAAUAGCAAGAAGAAAAAAAAAAGAUUAAAAGAGCGACGUGAAAAGAAAAAAAAAACAUAGAAGAGAAUAAGAGAGGGAUGUGCGUGGGCAACAAAAAAAACAAAAAAAAAAAAAAAAAAAAGGAAAAAAAAAGGGUUGCCACGAUACCGUUUGGAUAUCGCCAUGGCUUGGACGAUACUCUUUGGAUAUUGCGCCACACAACAUGGGAGGGUCCAAGAGAAAUCCCUCUCGACCGUGCUCCUUAAUUGGUGCUCCUUAAUUGGUGGUACGGUACGUAUCGUCCCGUGCUGACCGGCAUAGAGUGAUACAUUAAACCUUGGAGUAAACUUAGGUUCGGUGUGUUCUUUUGCAUCAUGCGAUAUCAUCAGAAUACCCUUACGAUAGAUAGAUAACAUUCGUACUCGAUCCUCUCUGCAAUAAUUUGCUCACAAUGACAAGCAAUUCACAAAGUUUGAAGUAGAAGAAUACAUAUAUGAUACAAUUAUUAGGAAACCGACUACGUCAUAUUUGUACGUACUUUAUUUUUGAACUAAACUCUGAGACAAAACUCUGAAACUUUAUGAUCUGUAAAUACUAAAAAAAUGUAAAGAAUUUGAUUCCACAAACUGUCUACAUUCUUUUACCGCAGAAACUGUUUUGAUUACUUACACAGGAUUGAAUAUAUAUUUACUUCUACUCACAGGAGUAAUAUGUUAGAACAUGAAUUACUUACCAAGCACUUGAACGAGGGAAUGUACAGUGAAAAUCUCAGGAUCCAGAAAACAAGUUACCAAUUUUUCGAAGUUCUUUUAGAGCAGCUAUAGCUUCUUGCUCCUUGCCUCUGUUGCUCGCAGCGUUUGUUAGGUUAUCCACCAAAUCCAGGCCCAAGUCUUGCUCAAAAAACGACUCGAUCACCUACCAUUACAACAGUUAGAUUAUUACAAAGUUGCAUUAAAAAGAUAAAAGAUAAGAGACCAAACGAUAAAAUAUGCACCGAUUGCACUCGCAUCUAAACUAUUGUUUGACCUUUCCUUGUUAAUAAGGUUCAAAAAUAGUAGAAUAUGUGUUAGGCACAAGCCCUUCUUGCUGAUUGUGUAAUAUGCUCGUAGUAGUGUUUGUUUGAUGGUAAUAAUGAUUAUAGCUGCCAGCAAGGUGCAUUCCACGGUCCUGUGAAUUUGCUUACGAAGACAAAGCAUAUAAACAAAAUCUAAAGGCAAGAUAAGUUAUAGAGAAGGUUAGUAUGUUCCAACCUUCGAGCUCUAUCGAUAUGCUGAUGACAUCCUUGAAGGAACUAUGCGUACAUAUGCAUGCACAUAUAUUAAUGCAGACUGACAUACAAUUCAGAGAUGACAAUUAUGUUUGAGCAAUGCCAGAUAGGAUCUCUAAAAAAGCCUCAUAUUAGAAGUUUAGAACUGAAUGUACGAGUGUCUCGUAUGAAGUAUUUUUUACCUGGAUAUUAGCAAGAAUUGAGCGGCCAAGACACCUAAAGGUGUUCAUCACCUCUCCAUCUCCCGCUUCUGGAUUCAAGCUAACUCCGCAGGAAUGACAACGCUCACAAGAAGCCAAAAUACUUAAUAUAUCCUGAGAAAUCACUUCAUUCCCAGAAGAAUUUUGGGGCUUAAAAUCCUUUUCUUUAUUAAACGCUUUACGUGUUUCGGCAUCAAUACUACUGCUUCCUAGCUCCUCCACAUGACGAAAUUCAUCAAUAUAAUUAGCAAUAAAUGGUGAAGCAUCACUUCGUCUACAACUCACAACGUCAUGAUUAAUCUCUUCUUCAUCGGCACAAUUGAUUCCUUCUUCUGAACCUGAGGGAGUAAAACCACUUGCUCUCGGCAUGUCAGAGUUUUCAUCAGCGUGAUUUCUACCAUCCAAAAUUAUGCGUCUAAGAGUAGACCAAUGAUCCUUUUUCUUGCUCGCAACUGUUUUAUCAGCAUCAGAUUCUGCUUGAGGAGAGAGUAAUCUCUUGUUGAACAGACCUUUUCUCGUCUUACUAAUAAUGGAACCACCACGAGUAAUCUUAGAUAGAACUUCUGUAUCAUAAAUCACCUUCCACUUCUCUUCCCAGUAGUCUGAUGAAGUCUUGGGGUGAUCCAAAGCAAUCAUCCCAUCACCUUUUACAUAAUUCCUGAAGGUCCUCUGUUGGCAAGAAGAAAAGUUUAUAUCAAGAGCAAGACUUUGCAGUGAUUUUGCCUUCCCGAUCAAUUUCCUCACAUUUAUAUCUUCCGGGAAGUUCACCAAUCUCUGAAGACAGGUAGUCGCAUGCUCACUAGCCAAUAGUGAUGAUCUUAGGUGAAGCAGCAUUGAUAUAGCCAUUGAUAUAAUGAAUGCUCCGCGAGGAGAAGAUAAUACCUUAUAAUCCCCUCUGUUCUCUUUAUCCGUGUUGAAUGUACUAUUCGGAUAAUAGAAGAUCUCAUCCCAAACAGCCAAGAGAUUUUCGAGUGAAAAUUCACGCCCAAAUAAAACUCGAAGCCACCGUAGAGAAAAGUAUUGAGGUUCUACCCCCAAUUCAGUGAGGUGGCUGUAAAGAGAUAAAUCAAUGCUUGAGAGCAAAUGAUAUAUUGCCUCUGACGCUUCGAGCACUGGUGCUAGUCCUGUAUUGGAUUCCUUAGGAAGAGAUACAGAGAAAAAAUCGGCUAUAGCAAUUAUACCACUUGCACCGUUCAUUAAACCAUCAAACAUGCAAUAGGUGUCAUGUUCGAGGAAUUUCUCAGAUAUGACAAUACCCAACUCGCCUUCCGCUCCAUAAGCAUCGUUCAUCAAAAAUAGCUCCCUUGUAUCAGGAUCGAGCUCAUCCAAACUGCUUAUUUCGGAAGCAUUCUGCCAAGAAGAGCCAUUCUUGUUUGUCCUUACAUUCGUUGGCUCCUCUGAUUUGUAGUCAGAAAUUAUAUCUCUUUCUGGAAAAGCUGAACUGUUAUAAUCGCCAAUAAGGCGGUCUUCUUCGAGGCCGUGUGCUUGAGAGGAGUGCUGCACAUCAACAUGAAGUACAUAUAGCAGAGGAGCUAAAAGUUCAUGCAUUCCUGUAAGAAAGUAAAAAUAUGCACAUGAUAACAAAUGUCAAAUGCAUAAAAUAGAUAAAUUUUAUUGCUAGCCUGAUUACUAGAAUGAGUUUGAUAACGAAAGAAGAUUUAAUAAAAUAUAUAUAUAAGGCAUCAAGACAAUUUAAAAGUGCAUAAUAUCAUUCAAGAUGAUUUUUCUUUUGUAAAAAAUAAGAAAAGCACUUGCCUUGCCUGUAUCCGUACUCUGGGUGCUUAAGACACCACACCAAUAGUAUGCGACCUAGCAUGGAUUGGCAUGCUGCUGUUUGGAAGUAGCUCCCUUCUUCAGGAUAGAGCCGUGAUAGAUCUUGAUUGAGCGUUUUCUCUAGUUCAGCAUUCUGGAAAAAGCGGCCCCACAUGCUGUCUACAGAGGUAGCAUAAAGCAAAAUAUGCAAUAACUUAAAUAGGAAUCAUGAAUUCUGGCCUUAAGAGAGUAGCUAAUUUGGGCCCUCUUCACUCAUAGAUGUUAGGAAAUGAAAAUGCGGUUAUAUGUAAUGAAAACAUGUGCAUCUAUAAGAAGACAAAUUUGCAUCUUAAAAAUCUUCCAGCAUCCAGGAUGGGAAGUAUUAAUAAGAAUGCUGAGUAAUAUUGAAGAAAAUGCUUUAACUAUCAAACUGCAAAUUAAGUUACAAUGUCGGUCGAUAUCACAAAUCAGGUGAUCAUAAUAACCCCGACCUUUAAUUAGUCAUAUUAGCUAAUCCCAACCGAGAAAACUUCAAAUUCAAAAAAGUGUAGAAAACUGCAGAAGCUUAUAAUUACUUAGAUCAUCUGCUCGAAAGAAACACUAGAAUGUGGAUUCAAACAAUUCUCAACCUAUAUUAUAUCCUUCAGAACUUCCAUCCGAGAAAAGUUAAUAUUCUUCAGGAGCAAAUAAGAAAAAUAUACCUGGAUUUUGCGACAAUGGAUUUUCCACAAUGGGAUCAGGAGGCUUGCUUUCAUCCUUCAAGAGAUGUGGAUCAAUGAGAAGUUGACGCCUCAAACUAGCAUAUCUAUCAAUAGAAACACAAUAGAGAAGAAAAGAAUAAAAAUAUUGAUCUCUUCAGAUAUUGCAAUCUGAGAAUAUAGAAUAAUUUAUGACUAAAGCAGGGAAGUAUGAUUCGCCAAAUUCUCCAAAUUCGUCAUCAAAGUGAACACUUCAUCUUUGUGCCUCAAAGCAAACUCUCUAACAAUAAACAAAUUGGUCAGAACUAACAUAGCCUUUUCAUGAUAGAGACAAGCAGAGAAAAAUGAUCAAUCAUGACAGUGCGAAUCCAAAAUGAGACAAAAAAGGAAUUAAGGAAUGUUAAUGAAACAAAUGUCCAAAAUGAGACGAAAAGGGAAUUAAGGAAUUUUAGUGAAACAAAUGUUAAAAACGUAUUAGAAAAGGGAAUUAAAGAAUAUUAAUGAAACAAAUGUUAAAAAUGUAUUAGACCUAAUCUAAAUUAUGGUGCAUUUUCAAAUAAAUACUGAAACUGUAAAAAAAAAUUUGAUUUUAUUACACAACAUAUUUGAUUUAGCAACCUCACUCUCCGAAAUAAAUGCUACUUCUAAAUUUUUGACGUGAUAUUUUGUAACAUGAGCAACAAAGGGUAGUAAAAUCAAAAUUUCCAAAUUUCAAUCAGCCAUUUCAACAUACGCUCUAUAGCGCAGGUAACAUUUGUACCUUUUUAGCCAAAUAAAUGGAAGAAUACGUAACUUUUAAAUGCUAAUCAUGAUUAAAUGGCUUGUUCGCAAUAAAACCACCAACAUCUGCGGUUAAUUAUCAAACCCUACCAAUCAAAUGUGGCCGGAUUUUGUUCUUUGUUGAAACAUAAAAUCACAAGGAUAAAGGGAUUAAGAAUAAUCCAAUCUACAAUCUCCAAGAACCUGCAUAAACUCCCAGUUUUCUACACUGGAAUAAUAAUUAGGGCUCAAAAGUUAUCAAUCACAAAUUCUAUAAACAAAAUGAGAUUCCCAAAACCUAUAUCGUUUCCUUAUCAAUAGAUCAACAAGCAAACACCAAUGCCCAUAGUUAAUUGCAGCAUUCUUGAGCGCAAGAAACCCUACUUUAAUUGAAUCAAAAUUAUAAACUUAAAUACCAGAACCGAUUCGAGAUAAGGGUUUUCUCAAAGAUUCGAUCUAACAAAAUUAGAAAAGAAUUAAGGGGGAAAAGAAAAAGGGAAAAAGAUUCGUAAAUUCGACCUCCUCCGAGAAUCCGCGGCGACUCUUCGGAUCUCCUCGAUCGAGGCGGCGGAGCUCGGCAGGAUCCCGAGAUCGACUCGCCACCGAACCCCUCGAAGGCUCCCGAACCUCUGCCUCGGAAACCGCUCCCCGGAUGAGGAAAUCGCCAUUUCUCUCUCUCUCUCCCUCUCUCUCUCGCCUCCCCACCAAUUCCAGAUCACAACAUCGAGAUCGGAUUUGGGGAGAUCGAAUUUGGGGGGAAAUGGAGAGGAGAAAAAUCUAAUACGAGGGGAUUUGAAUUGGGAGAGAGAGAGAGAGAGAGAGAGAGAGAGAGAUGAGGAGCCGAGGUGUUGAGGGGUUAAAUAUGUGAUUUCCCUUUUUCCUUUUUUCCUUUUUCUUUUCCUUUUUCUUUUUACAUGGCUAUUUUUUUUCCUUUAAAAAGAAAUUGAACCUCAUGUAUCCAUUUAUCAAAUUCUAGUUUGAAUUUUGCUGAAUACAGCCGAUUUUAUCUUUUAAUUUUUAAUUUUUUUAAAAAAAUAGUAACUUUAUUUAUUUUUGAAAAAAUAAAUUUAACUAAAAAUACGAAGGAAAUAAAUUUUGAAAUUGAAAUCUCGAAUAUUAAUUACUGAGUUCGGCUAUGGUGCUGGUAAAAGUACCAAGUAUUUGAUAUUUGUAAAUUUUUUACUGUUAGAUCUACGCCUUUAAUCAUUUUCAUCCGUUAGAUUAUACUAUUCAACCAAUAACCCACUCAACCCUAGAGGGCCCACAUCAUCUUAACCGCACAUUCCUUAAUCCAAGGGCUAAAAACUUAUAAGCACCAAUAAUUUGGUACUUUUAAAAGCAUAGGAGCUCAAUUCUUAAUUAUUAAUAUUUUUGUCAUUUGACAUGCGUCAGAUGUUAUUGUUGUCUAUUUCAUUCUAAUAUAUGAGAAAAUGAGAAUAAAAACAAGAUAGGUGAAAUAAUAACCCGGAUAUCUUACACUGUACAUUUACAAUUAUAUGUCAUAAGAAUCUUAAUUAGAAUCUAGUUAGUUAGAUAAAUCUACCAUUUAUUACGGAUUUAUUAUUGAAUUUUAAAACCCGCUAAUAUCAAUAAUUUUAAAAAUGUUAUAUAUCUUAUUUAAUAAAUUUAAAAUUUGAAAGUACGAUAUUAAUAUCACAAGUAAGUAAAGAAUACAAAUAUAUGAGAUGAAAAAAUAUAUCUAGUUAUUACUAUUAUUAUUAAUAUUAAUAUUAUAUUAUCCUCUAGGAUCCAUUGGCAUAUUCCACUUGGCAUAAAAUAACAAAAUGCCGCAUCAGCAGCAUAGACAAAUGGAAUGUCCACUGAGCAUUAAAAUAUCUCACAGUGAGAUGCUUUGGGUUACUAAAGAAGCUAUUGUCCUUUUCCAUUGUUGGUUUUGAAUAUAUAUUUAUUAUACAUUUAUACUUGGCCACAGUUUCGAUUGGGUACAAAAAAAAAAAAAAAAAAAAAAAGCACGNAAGUGUAUCAAGUUAGUACCCUGUGGUUUCUCACUUUAUCACUUUAGUACCCUGUGGUUUAAAGUGUAUCAAGUUAGUACCCUGUGGUUUUGCAUUUUAUCACUUUAGUACCCUGUGGUUUUGAUUUUGUAUCAAAUUAGUACCCUGUGGUUUUUUAAACUAUAGGGUACUAAAGUGAUAAAGUGUGAAACCACAGGGUACUAAAGUGAUAAAGUGCAAAACCACAGGGUACUAACUUGAUACACUUUAAACCACAGGGUACUAAAGUGAUAAAGUGAGAAACCACAGGGUACUAACUUGAUACACUUUAAACCACAGGGUACUAAAAUGAAAAAGUGUGGAACCACAGAGGGGGUUUUGAAGUUUUCCCAAAAAAAAAAAAGGGGAUAAAGAUUUUAUCCCUCCUCUUGUGUCCAAAUAAGAAGUUGGGUGGGUGGGAACUUGUUCCCCUGGUAGAGAGAGAGAUAUUUUUAUUUUAAAUUAGAAUUUAAAUUUUUAAAAUUUUAAAAAUUGUAAUCUCAAAAUUAGAAUUUAUAAUUUAAAAUUCUAAAUUUUAAAGUUUAAAUUUUAAAUUUGAUAUUUUAAAAUUUUAAAUUUAAAAUUUGAUAUUUUAUAUUUUUAAAUUUAAAUUUGGUAUUAAAUUUAAAAUUUAAAAAUUAAAUUUUUAAAUUUUAAUUUCAAAUUUUAAAAUUUAAAAGUUAAAAAUUUAAAUUUUAAAUUUAAAAAUUCAAAUUCAAAUAUAAUAAGAAAGGUAAUACCAUUAUUUUCUAUUUAUAACUAUCAACUAUUCAUCUUAUUUCAUCUUAUCUAUCCAAACUCUAUUUUUCUUAUUUUCGGGAACAACCAAAUUUUAAUGCAAACACAAAAUUGGUCUAGUUCUCGCUUAUACCUAAACUUGUAUCUAUUCCUGAUAUAAGCUAAUUCUUAUUUAUACCCGAACCAAACGAAGCCUUAUGAUAUAGGUGCAAUAAUCCAAAUUUAUCUAUACAAAUUUAGUUUAUAUAUUUUAUAUAAUUUUUAUAAUUAUAAAUUUAUUAAAAUAAAUAAUUUGUAGAAAUUUUAAAGUUAAAGCGUUUAAAUCAAACAAAUUAAAAAAUAAAGUAAUAGUAAGUUAUGUAAUUUUUUAUUUUUAUUUUUUUGAGUCUUUUUCACACCACCCCACUAUUAGGUAGGUAAAUGGAUCUGGGUUGGUAGAGUUUCUUCUCUGAUUCUCUCCGAAAGGGACGAUAACGAAGAACAGAAAAAUAUAAAAAAAUAUAGAUUUUUUCAAAAUCUGUCCCGCUAAAAAAAAAUAAAGUAAAAAAUAGAAGAAUCCUUUUUCUUUUAAUCCACCGCUAUCCGCAAAAAAUCGUCAAAAAUAAGCUUCCAUUUAAAUCUACAUGCAAAUAAUUCGUCUCUAUUCAAAUCCGUUCCAAACGAAGUGAUAAUUGAGAGCUAAAACUAGAAUAAACAUAUAAGUUAAUUAUUUUUGGUUUGAUAAGAAACGGGGCAACGCUACUCGUUAUCCUUGUCUAGGGGUAGAACUGGGCCCGAGCCUAAACAAGGCCCGGUCCAAUGGGCCAUGUUUGGGCCGGGCUUUGGGUAUUGAAAAUACAACUUUGGGUUCGGGCCGGGUUUAAAAAUUUAGGCCCGAAAAAAUUUUGGGCCUAUUUGGGCGUGUCCAGCCCGACCCGAGCCCGACCCAAAAGCCCGAUAUAUUAUUAUCAAAAUAAAAUAUUUAAUUAUAUAUAUUAUUUAUCUAUAGUAUAUCAUAUAUAGUAUAUAUUGUUAAUAAUGAUAUGUACUUAUAUAUAUGAGGAUAUAUUAUAUAUUAACAAAAUAUUUAGUUCUAUAUUAUGAUAUAUUUGAUGUUAGAUAUUAAUUUCUUUGAUGUGAUAAAACUAAAAAUAGGUAUUUUAUUUUAAUUUUAUACAAAUAAAAGUAUUUAUGUAUUAUAUGAUAAAUGCAUAAAAUGGGCCUCCACAAAGCCCGAUGGGUAUUGGGCAUUGGGCUUAGGCUUGGGCCGGGCCUUAAUUUUUUAAAAAAAUUGGGUAAAAGCCUGACCCGAAGCCCAACAUUUUUUUGGGCCGGACUUGGGCAUAGUAAUACCCGACCCAAGCCCGGCCCAGUUCCACCCCUAUCCUUGUCCUUUCCCUUCACUCUUCCACGUUUCCGCAUGAGGGCAUUUUAGUCAUUUAAUAAAUAGCACGUAUUUACCAUAUAAUAUAUAUACAUAAUAUAUACACAACACACACACUCAUUCGCCCCAAAUCCAAUCCUAUCCCUCUUUCGCCCACUCCUCUCUCUCUCUCUCUCCCUCUCUCUCUCUGGGAGAGUGAGAGCGAGGAGGAUAAAAAAAUAAAAAUUCUAUCAAUAUAUUGUCUCCCUAUACGAGAUCAAAUAAGGCAAGGUUUUUAAUUUAUUUUUUAAAUUUUUUUUGCUCCUCUUGGGUUUUUUUUUUUUUUUUUUUCAACUGCUAUGAUAGACUCUAAUGUCAAAAGGUUCUCUCUCUGUUUUUUUCCUUAAUAUUUUUCACAUUUUCUUUUUAACACUUGUUUUUUUUUGUUUUUUGAGAGGAAUCUUUUUAAUACUUGUUGAUGGUUGGAUGGAAAUUUUUUCAUUUUAAUUAUGCUUCUGGGUUUUUCUUUAAUUAUAAAUCCAUUUUUUGUCUAAUGAAUAUCUAAUUGCUGAAACCGAUUCACAAAUAUUUGGCCGUUUUUGUCUAUUUAAUUUUUUUUGUAUAGUUUUCUUGAUGGAAAUUGAGUGAGGAGAGCAUUACUAUUGUUAUUAUUUCUUUUUUGUUGUUUACUAUUUGAUUAUAAUCUUAUAUGAUGUUUGUUUUUACUUGUUUUUUUUUUUUUCAAAUGCAAAUGUGAAUAAUGCUUUUUCUUUUUCUUUUUUUUGAAUAGGACAAUUUUUUACUGUUUCAAUUGAACUGAUUUGUGCAGUAAACCUGUUUAGGAGCAAUAUUUACCUCUUUGCCAUUGAAUGGAAAUGGACCAUUUGAUGAGUGUGAUGGAUCUUCCACCAGGUUCUAUUCAUUCUCUGUUUCAAACUAUUUUGGCAUUCCACCAAAUAAAUUAGACAAAUAUUUUACCUUCAUUUGAACUGGAUAUGUAGAUAUUUAUACAUGUUUUGCAAACAGGGUCCACGGUGUAUCAAAAGAAAUUAGUCGAAGAAAUGGAAGAACUCGGAAAAUUAAGGACGGAUUUGAUGAUAGCGAAAUGCCAAAUUAAGAAUGAAGUGAUCAUGUGUCCUAUACCAAGGAAACUUACCAGGUUUCUCUCUUUCAUAUAAGCUAUUCUGAUGAAAAUUUGAUGUUUUUGAUUGUGAAUCGAAUUAUCGAGUUGCAGUAGAACAAUACUUGAUUAUCGGUUUCAUUUCUUUCUUCUGGAUCAGUGAAUUUCCAUAUCUUUAUUUGAUUUUCUUAUUAAGGAAUUAGACAUUAUUUAGUCCCUUACCAACAUAUUCUUGUAGCUUACAUGUAGUUUGAGAUCAAAUGCACUGCAAUUUCACUUACUUUUUGUUGCAGUCGAAUUUGUUAGUUUUUUUUUUUUUUUCAUACUUGUGACUUCCUUUAUAUUUUGCAAAAUGCAGGUCGCGUAGAGAGCAUAAUGAAUUAAAGGCUAUAACAGAUCUUUCCGACAGCAUUGCAAGCAUGGUUUGUGACUAUACUGAUCACUAUUUGAAUUCAAAUGGUUUCAAGCACACUAUUAGCAAUUUUUCUAGCUAUUCUUAAUUUUCGGAGCACUUUGCUGUUCUUUAUGCUUCUUUUUAGCAUUUGAGCUUACCAAACUUUCUCCUUUUCACUUAAUGAACCCUAAAAUCAGAAUGUUAUAUGCUACAGGCUUCACCACCAUACUAUGCUGGAUCCCCUCCGAUUCGCGAAAGCAAUCCUCUUAUUCGCGAUUCACUAUUCAGAGAGCAAAUGGUGUAAAAGGCCUUACAAGUAUCAUCUCUUGAUACCCAAUUCUACCAAUUUUGACGACUUAAGGAGCGUCUUUUUUGUUCCGAAAUAAUCACCUUCAUUUCUCUGAUUUUAUCGGCAAAUUGUUGCGUAGUUUAUCUGUUCUAGAGAGCUCUUUAGCUUGGUUUUUGUUGCUUUUAAUCGUCUUCGCAUCGUGUACAUAUCUUCAUGGCAAGUUUUUAAAGACAAACUGUGAGUCGGUUUUCAUGAAUAAAUGUCUCCAGAGUCACUCUCAUGAAUUUAUACCUUCACAGGGUUUUAAGAGCUAUAUUGAUCGGUUUGGUUGUAACGCGUCAAUAGUUCCAUAUCGGAUGAGAAAAUGAUUCUAAUUAGAAUAUAUGAGGCCUCACACGCUGGUAAUAAUAAUUGGACUUAAACAUUUUGAGCCGGUGAUUUGGAGCCAACGAUUUAUUAUUGCUACCAGAUUUGGUAUCGGAGCUAAAUAUCUGUCGAAAGUGUGAAAGCUAAGUAUUAUGUAGCACAAAGUGCAACACCACAAGUUUGGUGAAAGCCACCUCUUGAACUCAUAAGAGCCACCUCUAGAAUCUCACAUCACCUGGUAAUUUGGUCUAUAUUUCUGAGGACAUUGGGGUCUAAGCGGGGGGCUUAAACCCAUAGGAGCCAUAUCUAUAAUCUCACAUCGCGAUAAUCUAGUCUAUAUGUCUGAGGACAUUGGGGUCUAAGCAGAAGGCUUGAACCCAUAAGAGCCAUCUCUAGAAUCUCACAUCGCUUAAUAUUCUGGUCUAUAUGUCUGAAGACAUUAGGGUCUAAACGGAAGAAGUUUAACAUCCCAAGUCCCACAUCAGAGGAAAAAAUAAUGAAUUGAAAUAUAAGACCACACACUCUAAUAAUAAUAACUGGACUUAAGUAUUUUGAGAUCCAAUGAAUUAUUAUUGCUAGCGGGUCGGAUCGUUACAUUAAUAGUACCCAUCUAAUCAAUACCCAUCUUUGUAUAUUUCGGUAAUAAAUAAAAAUAACUAUCCAAAACACUACAUUGUGAAGCUAUCAAUCUGCUUCUACUGCCACUCAUCAUCUAACAUACAUUUUAUCCGCUCUCUCUCUUUUGCUAUAAUCUUUCUUCUGAUAUGUAGUAUCAAAUUUUAAUGGUACGAUUUGCUUAGUGUAUGAAUUUCCUGGAAAGUUCCUUCUCUCCUUUGGAAGUGAGCGGAGCUCCGGCAACCAAUAUGCAACAUAUUCACCUUCAGGAUCAUAGGUUUUUGCCUACAAUGAAGCGAGUAGAUCACUAUAUUCUAUUUGUAUACUAAUCUCUAAAAUUUGCGUUAAGUAUGCUAUUCAGUAUGGGAAGCUUCUCUAAUAUUCAGUUCAGUGAUUCUAUUUUUCAUCUAGUAGUGUUGUUAAAAUGUUAUGUUUGUAACUUUAUCAGAAUACGAAUGUAAUGAGAUCAUACCUGCUUGGGGAUGCUGAAGUAGCGAUCUUCUCUUGGAUCGUUGCCGACUCCUAUACAGCAAAACAUAUACAUUUAGCUUUGCAAUGCUAAUUAUAAAAACUCUUGCUAGGUGACUUUACAGAGCUUGAUCUGAUGUGCUAACUAAAAAGAAAUUUAUUUGUUCUCGUGUUUUAUUUCUUUAAUUCCAGUGUACUAGUAGCUUUUUACAGAACAAAAAGGAGGGGAAAAAAGAGCUAACCUGCUCCAUAAGUCCAGUUACCGUAAUUGGAAGCUGGAUCAUAAUCUAAGAGACAUGUCUCAAACCAUUCCGCUCCCAUUCGCCAGUCGAUGCCCAUAUCUCGAACCAGAAACGAGCACACAAUCUGCGGAAACAAAUCAAAUUGGAAUUGGAAUGUUGCUGAUUUUCCUAAACAACUGAGUUCAAAUUAUAUUUUGCUUUGUGCCGGGGCACUGUUUGCUUCUCUUGAACUGCAACAGUGAGUUAUUAUUAUAAGAAGUCCGACAUUACCUGCCGUCCUCGGUUCGACAUGAAUCCAGUGGUUGACAGCUCUUUCAUGUUCGCGUCGAUGAUAGGGUAACUAACAUUGACCGAAAAAUGCAAAGCAUAUUACGAGGCUAUCUAUUUCGUUAAACUCUGAUACAACAUAUUUGGUUUUUUCCAAACUAAAAAAAUAGAUGGAAAAAUUAUUGGAACAUACCCAGUACGGCCAUCUCUCCAGGCCUCAAAGAGUGCCCGAUCCUGGCUCCAGUUGCUCACUAUUUUCCGAGGUCCGCCUACAUUGAAAAGGAAAAAGAUUAUCCACUUCGGCCAUCGAACUGUUCAUUCUAUUUCAUACUAAAUGGUUCCAUCUAAAUGGUUUAAAACGUUACAGACGCGAUGUUGUAUUAUAUCUGUUUGGAGUACUCAAAGCUUGAAAAGCCAUGAUGCGGUUGAAACUAAAAUAUAGAAGUUGUUAACAGAAUGAAACGACGAAGUUGUUAACAGAAUGAAACGAAUGUAGGAAACACAGUUUAAGAUGUUUAUCAUUGGAGAGGGCAAACUUAUUAGCCAAGAUGUCGAGGAAGCAAAUAUAAGCUACACAGUAAAGAAAAAAGACAUGAGACAAGUACUAACCUAGAUGGAAGAUGGAAUUUCCGUAUUUUAUUGAAAGAAAUCUGAAGUAGUCCCUCCAUAUGAGCUCAAACAAAACCCUGAAAAUAGAAAAAUAAAAGGAAAAGAAACUUCACGAUAUGAUUCCGUGCAGUGUCCAAGCAAGCGAACCAGCAAACUCGAAAAAUCUUGUAUAUCAAGUGAUUGUGGUGUAUGGGUAUAAGAUGACUUACCAGUAUGUUGAAUCAUUUGAUAUCCUCUGCUUCUCAUAUCUCUUAACCUAUUAAAUCACAAGUGUGCAUAAGCAAAAAAUUUCGUGGUGGGCAGUAUCAAAUCCAGCAGUUAUUAAGAUCGGUUUAACAUGAAACCUCUUCAUAAAUAUAACGUGGAGAGAGGCUGCCAGAAGCAAGCCACGAUGAGAAUUUCGUUGAAUAAUCUGGUCCUAACAUGCCAUUCCUUGUUUCCUUAUAGACCCUUAAUUUAUCCUGCGCGUAAACGAUCUUUUCUUAGAUCAUAACAACUACUCAAUCAGUUGAAUUUUUAUACUGUACAAGAUAAUAAGAAUAGAACCCACUAAGGGCCCAAAUUUGAUUUGUACUUUGCCCCUUGUGACACCCACUCUUUCCCUUUACAAAGUGCUAACACCGAUAAAAAAUUUCAUACUUUAUUACUGCAUAAUGUUUAUACUCACAAACAAAGAUACUUGACAUAGAAUUUAAUGAUAUGCGACAAAGCUGAGGAUUAUAAUUUACAUAGUGAGGGUGAAAAAAGAAAAAACAACUUUCUUGAAAAGCUACCUUCUUCCAGAAGUACUCAGUAACUCUCCCUAUAGCUGCAUUUUCACCUCCAACAAAACUCAUUCCUUUGUCACACUGCAUUUAGCAAAUGAAUAUAAAGAGUUAAAAGUUAAAACACGUGCGAGCGAACAGACGCACACAAAAUAAUCAAUAGAGAAUAAAUAAUGUUUAUCAUUUAGAAGCCACUCUUAUUCUUAGGUACUACUAGUCUCUUAAAAGAGCUACAACUUACAGUCUGAUGGUGUUAUGUAUUUAGUAAAUCAGGAAAGAAAAAAGAAAAAGAAAAAGAAAAAGAAAAAGAUAGAGCUAUAGCAAUGAAAGUGCAAAUCAUAUGAAGAGAGAUUUUCCAACAUAUUUGGCGGCUUUAUCAAUCUAGGAAUGCACAAAGAAGAAGAUAUACAAGGUGUCUAAGCAGCAAGAAAGAUUCAUUGACCUGCCUUUUUUUCUUCGAGUCCCAAUUGUUCGAGCGAAGGAAUGUCUCCCCACCCACCAAUCUCAUCUAAACUAGCGCUCGGAGGUGGCCCAAAUGACAAUGGCAACUUGCAGCAGCUCCUAGUUAAGCACUUAGACUCAACAGCCUGCAUAAAUGCAACGACAAAUAAAUGUCUCUGUUGCCAACAAAUGAAAUAGAAGAAAAAGAAAACUUGGAAUCUCAGACUAUACCUUGCGAAAUUGUGUAUAAACAUCUGGUAAGUCCCUUAUGCUGAAUGGAAGGUCAUCAAUGUGAUACAUAGUUGUUCCCCAAAUAAGUUGCAAUUUGGGAUUUAUCGGUUCCUGAUCAGGUGAUUGAGGUAACACUACUUGUUGCAAUCUUUUGAGAACACGAUGUUCAACGAGAAGUUCCUCACUGCAUGUUUCCUUAUGAGCAUAGACCUAAACCAAAUAGAAACAGAUCACUAAAAAAUUAACUAAGAAACACACUACCAGUGGCAUACAGGACUAUGCAGCCCNCCCCCCCCCCCAAAAAAAAAAAUCACGUUUUUCUUGAAAGAUUUUAUGAUCUUUAAUUAAGCCAUUUGCUCUGGUAGCGAAGACCAACAUUACACAGUGAAGGCACAAGAGGCAUGGGAAUGUGAAUAUUGAAACAUAAUACCGAAAAAAACACUAUAUGCGAAAAAUAAUGAGUUCAUCAGUGUAAAAUGUUGUAACUUUUCGUGCGUGCGUGUGUGUGUGUUUGGAUGUUUGGUGCAUGUGUGUGCGUGCGUGUGUGCGUGCGUGCGUGUGCGUGUGCGUGUGCGUGAGAGAGAGAGAGAGAGAGAGAGAGAGAGAGACUCACUGUGUGGACACCAAAAGCUUUUACGACUGAAGGAAGGAUAUCUUCGGGCUUCCCAUGUUUCACCAGCAAAUUUAGCCCUUUUUUGAUCAAAUUCUUUUUUAGAUCGGCAAGACACUCUAUCAAAAAUUGUGCCCUGAGAGCUGUUAAAAUAAAAUAAACAAUUAAUUAGCGAAGAAGGGGAAAUUAACACCAUACUCAACAAAUCAUAAAACAUAGCAUAACAUGAUUUUGCAUAUGACACUAUAUAUAUAUAUAUAUAUAUAGUUGAGCUGGAAUACUAUCGGUAGCAAACGGGCUCCGUUGCCACCAAUUUGUUUUCGAUGAUGGAGCCUCCAAAUCAACGAUCGGUACCGUUGAAAAUGAUCUAUACCACUUGAAGUAUCUAGAAAUCAAAUUUUAUGCUUUUCCGAUAUUGUUCUCUUGUUCAUCAAGUCGGCGUAAAAAUGAACGGCUGAAAAUGAAUAUCCUCUAAAAAGUGAUGAUAGGAAUUUUGUAAUCAAGAUCGAGAGUUAGAUCUUGUUCUAAAUAGUUUAAAAAAUUUUCUAACCAAAAUUCAAUUAAUUUGGAUAGUUUUACACCGUUAAACGAGAAAACGCCUCAUAUCAACCAUUAAAAUUACAAAUUUUGAAACCCUUUGAUCAUUAGGUUAAUGAUGUUGAAAAGAUUUGAAAUUUGAUUUCUAGAUGCUUCAAGUGAUAUAGAUCAUGUUCAACGUUGCCGAUCGUCGAUUUGAAGGCUCCAUCAUCGAAAACAAAUAGAUGGCAACGGAGCCCGUUUGCUACCGAUAGCAUUCCAGCUCAACUCUAUAUAUAUAUUCCCUCUCCUCUCUCCAAAGUGCCACAAACGUUGCUCAACAUUAUAAUUAGCUCCAUAAAAAGGGAACUAAGUAUAGACAAAUUAAAUCCACACAUUACCAGAACAGUUUAACCAUUUACUCUCCUCCCAGUAAUCUAAUCUUAACAAGCUACAAUAAGCACAUUAAUUAGCAUUUCCAUGAAAUCUACAAUAAUUUGGAGAACAAAAAAUCACAAAUUUUACUGCACAAUUCUAAGGAGAACACUACGAUCUAAUCCAUCGGCAUUUAAAAGAAAAUGAACAAUACAUCAAAAUCGAUCUCCAUACCUCCGGUUUUGGGGAAACCGAAGUAAUGAGUAGUCCCAAAGUUGCGAGGAUCCACACAAUACACAGGGAGUACCGAUUCCGACGUCGCCCACGCCCGAACCAACGCCUCGUUGUCGAGAACCCUAAGAUCGUUCCGGAACCACACGAUCGCCACCCCUUUCCCCGUCCUCUUCAGACUGGGAGAGGAGUACCUCCUAAACGCUUCAUCGGAGGCCAUUUCCGCCUCCUCGGAGCUUAAUCCAGGCACCAUAUAGCAUCGAACAGGGCGGAGGCGAUCGUUGGAAAGGGGAAUUGAGGACGAAGAGAGGCUCAUGGUGAGAUUGGAGCGGAAGAGGAAGCGAAUUGGGGUAGGAACUGGAGAGAAAAUUAGGGAUUUGAGUGGGGUGGAGUGGGGAGGGGAGAGAAGAUGAAGCAUUUGGAUUAGGGCUCGAGGGAGUUAGAAAUUUUUUUUUUUAAGUGACGUUCCUUGACGUUCCGUUAGGGGAGGGGAAACGCGAGGGGAAACGCGACGAUGUUUCGGAACGAGGAGAGGAGGAGGGAAGCGAGGGGAAGAGUGCCACGUGUACACGACGUAGAUUGAACACGUGGCGUUAAACUGGCCAAUGGUUGGAUGUGGGAUCCGUGGGCGAAUGAGAGCCGCGAAUUUAAAUGCGUGAUCCCAUGAGCAAUGAACACAAGACACCCGCGCAACUCGCGAAGUACUGCUACGUGUCGAUCCGUGAGUGGCCGAGGGCGAACCGGUGUCCUGGACCUGGUUCACUGCGUGAGCCCACAGCUAAGAGGUUUUUAAAAUCCAAGUAUAAACUAUGGAACAGUUUUUAAAAUUUAUCAUCCAAAACGUCAGAGUUAUCUCAAAAAUGAUUUUUUAAAAAGUAUUAGUGCUUGGUACACAAAUAAAUAAAUUUUCAAAAAAAUAUGAUGUUUUAAAUUGCACAAUUUUUGGGGUUGUGAGUCAAAACUAGUUGUUUCAGAUUUCAUUUUCAGACUCAAGAAGUAAUAAAACACUAUUUGGAUACCAAUCCAACAUGAACUUUGGAUAUCAUUUUGAGCAAAUUGUACAACAUUACUCACACAGAUCAAUAUCAUUUUUCAUGAAGUUCUUAGGCAACUACAAUCUUUUAAAAGAAAUAGCUGAAAAUAGCAAAAACACUAACACGGAAAAUCAAAUCGGAUAAUACCAACACUGAAAAUCAAAUCGACUCCAUUUGGAUCAAACCAACAGGCGCCUCUCGAGUUUCAAAUUAAAAAAUGAAUAUGCAACAGAUUAAAUUUGAACAAACUCUUCUGAUUUUCUAAUACAGAUAUUGUAAUUUAGAGGUUCUUCACAUUUUUCCUAGUAUGAUCUAUCCAUAAAUUUCUCAGUCAAAGAUCCAUCUAUAAGAUUUCAAGCUGAGUUUCAACUUUCCCCUGCUAUUCUUUCCCUACUGUUUGCUUCAUCUGCGCUCGCGACUCUCGAAAUCCAUUACGGCUAUACAACUUUAGCGUUGCAAAGUUUGCAUGCAAGGGCCUUCAGAUUUGUAUAGUAUCACAUCGUGCGCAUCCUGCAUGGAAUUUUGAAAAUCAGUGCUCCAAAAUUUGCAAAAUGCAUCGACUUACGACAGAAGAAAAUUUCUGACAGAAGCAGUUUUAAUCCUGGCAAAUAAACAAAUCUGGCAAGUGCUCUCAAAGAAACAAAUAUUUGAUGAGUACAAGCAGUGGUUUAAGGUGUCGAUGACAAAAUACAGUACCCGGAACAUCAUCAAGAAGAGAUAUGCUGCAACGGGCUCGUUUCUCUGAUUGAGAAGAUUCUAAUAGCUAAAAUAAGAAGUGUUAGUGGUGGUAUUUUUGCCCUUUAACAAUAGUCCACGCCCUGUAGAAACAUGCAGUAAAUGUUUGUAUUAAUCGAUUCUCAAUACAAUAUAAAUGGGAGCCGAAAUGUAUUUUAGUAAGGCGAGAUCACAUAAUUUGUAAGCAAAAAUAAGUUCAAUAAAGGAAAGCCCUUUACCUGUAAAGUUGCUCCACCAGGACUACUAACGCAACUUGGUGAUUCAAAACCAGUGAGGACAAUCUAAUUGCCGCGUCAGCACGCUCGCGCACUAGCGGCCCAUGACCGUAUGGGCCACCGAUACAAAAUGUGAGGCAUGACGAUCCCUAAAAGAUGAUGCUUCCUCAGUAUAAUUUGCACAGAAACGACAACAAAAGAAAAGCAAUAGCUAAUUCGGUAUUAGUCAUGCAUCUUUUCAGCGCUUUAUAAGUCACUAAACUAGCUUACCUUCUAAUAUGACAAAUAAGUAUCGAAAUCAUGUCGAGACAAAGCUUUAAGGAGAACAUGAAAGUCGCGAGGACUAAUGUUUUCAAAAAUAAUCAAAUCUUAUAAGCACUGAAUGAAUGGCAGGUCCAGCACAUACCGUUUUUCCCGCAUCUCCUAACAAAUCAGCCAUUUGCUCAGAAUUAAUCUCUCUUCCAUUCUCAUGUAACAUGACGACCUAAAAGCCAGAACAAAAAGGAAAGGAGGUAAUAAGCAGCCGAAAUCACGGAAUUAGCGAGCAAUGUGUUUAGCACAACAAAAAUUUGGAAGCUGAGAAACUCAACAUAUAUUUUGAAUUAUUGUAAUCGCAUACUUUGCAACAUUUACAGUAACAUUUUAGUUGAUAUCUGGUUUACAAAAUUUACGAUGAAAUGAAGAAAGAAUGUGAAUAUACUGAUUACUACAUGUAGCUUUUCGUUGAUUGGCGUAAACAUCUGCGCAAACUAAAGACGAGAAAAGUGGAAAAAGGAGAAAAGGAGGCGAUGCACCCGUCGAAAUGACAAGUUUCCGUAAUACCAUACCCAAUCUUCAGGUUUGAUGUGUUGCAUCAUAGCCGCGUCCUCUGCUUCAAUCUGGGCCUUCAUGUCGCUGCUCAACAUAUGAAAGCAUCAACUAGGAAUUUCGAGCAGAGAUCGAAUUUCUACAAGAAAAGGCUAUUUACAUGUUGGUUGAUGCAACCGAUAGAAUACUCGGGCAACAAAUACGUCGAAGAAAAAAGAAAAGGAGCAAACAAAAAUCGAUUACAGGGACACAGUAUCAACUAAUUACUAGAACCAAGGUUUCUACGCAUUCGAUCUUGAUGUGUUUCGUAAGAAUAAUCACAAAAAUAUUCUCACAUCAUCAAAAUUUAGACUAAAAUUUAGGAUAAAAUUCAAUUCACCGUACAAUAAUUUAGCGCAUUUUCGCUUUAUUAUUCUGCAGUUCAAAGGUUGCAUUUAACUACCCUGCGAUUUACCGCAUUUUCACUUUGUAGUUCAAAAAAUAUCUCGUAAUUUUAUUUUUAUUUCACCGUAAAGACCUAUCAUAAAAUAGGAUACAACCCUAUGGUUUUCAAAAAAUAUUUUACUUCGAACCGCAUAGUCGUAAAGUGAAAAAGCACAAAACCAUAGGGUUGUUUACCCAAAAUUUGAUCCAUCUCAACAUUCACAUCUCAGCUAUAAAUAAACAUUGUAAAACUAAACACUAAGCAAUUUAAAUAAGAAGAGAAUAAAAUUGUCCAAAUUUGGUAAUUUAGAUUACAAAAUAAUAAUAUGUAUUUACCUUGUGGUUUUUGGAUUAGAUUUAAUAAGAACAUCCUCAACGCCACAGUAGUACUUGAGCUUCUCCUUGUACUCUUCAACAAUAAGUUGGAUCCCUUGAGACCUCUUCUUUCCAACGGUUAAUAUACGUAUAGGUAUUGCUCUCUAUAAAAAAUGGGUAUAUAAUUAAUUACACCAUUUUUACAUAGUAAAGUAGCUCCUUCGAUGUAUUAUUACUUAAUUAUGUUACAUAAAAUAACAGAUUAUUACUUUUCUAACCCAGCGUUUUCCCAAAUUCGUGCUUAAUAAAUUCCCCAAGCCGUAUAUAUAAUAGAGAGCAUUUAUUUUUGGUCCUCGAAAUUGGACCCAAAUUUACUUGAAACCCUUAAUAGAGAGAUUGAGGAGUUUAAUUACUGUAAUAAUUAUGCCGUGUAGAGAUUAGAAAGAAAAGAGGAAAUUUUGGGGGUCUUACGAUGGAUUGUCCCGAGUAUUUGGAUCUCCUCCUACUAGCUGAAAAAUAAAAAAUAAAAAAUAAAAAACAUUUUGGAAAAAAUGGGGCUAGGGAUUCAAUGCGAAGAAGAAAUAUAUAUAGAGAGGGGAAAUACGGUGCAGAUUGAUUACCUGGGGAUGGAUUUGCUUUGAGAUUCGUGCUGUUCUUCGGAGGAGAGAGAUGGGUGUUGCUGUAGUAGCGACAGUAGAGCUCCAUGAGAGAGAGAGAGAGAGAGAGAGAGAGAGAGAGAGUGCGAGGGUUUUGAUUUUUUUUUUUUUAAUUAAUGAACGGGUGAAGUAGGAGCAGGUUGGGAUAUGAAUGGACGCGGACACCCAAAAUUUUAUCCAAACUUAAAUUUCAGAUGAGCAAAUUUACCUGAUUCUAAAUAAAUAUAAUGUGAAACACAGAUAAAAAAAAUUAAAGUUUGAUAAAUUUAAAUUUAGAUAUGAAUUUUGUCUAUAACAGAUCCGAACCUGGACCGAACAUAAAUUAAUUUUACAUUAUAUAAUACAUAAAUAUUUGAUGUUAUAUUUAAAUUUUUUUAAAAAAUUUAAACUUUAAUAUAAUAUUUUGAAAUAUGAUAAAGAGAGAUAAGUCUUUGAAACACUCAAUAAGUUAUAUAUGCCCCAGAAAAUAAUUAGAAAAUACUAGUAAUGUACCCGCGCUUUGCUGCGGGUAAGAUGAAUAUAUUUUUAAUUAUAUUUUUAAAAUAUAGGAUAUAUAUAUAUAUAUAUAUAUAUAUAUAUAUAUAUAUAUAUAUAUAUAUAUAGAAUUAGACUGGAAUACUAUUAAAAUAUCUUUAUAUUAACAAAUAUAAAAUUUAAAUAUAUAUAUAUAUAUAUAUAUAUUAAAAUAAAGUAAUAUUUUUUAAAAAUUACAGUGCACUGGGAUGGCCUACGGUGCACCGGGUGUAUCGAGUCAUUGAGUCGGACACGUGUCAAGUAAAGAACAAUGCUCCACGGACUUUAGUAUAUAGUAAUAGAUAGAUAGAUGGCAUAGCUAGGAAUGGCAGUUAGAGGAAGGUGAAUUAAAACAGUCCCGCACUCCUAAAUUUUAACUUCAUGGCUCUUGGCUCUUCUUAAUCUAAUGUUACCACAGCAGCGCUAAUAUACAAUUUUUUUUUCCGAUAGUUUUUAGUGCAAAUGGCAAAAAAUUUAAUAAUUGAUACGUGAAAUUUCAAAUUUAAAGCCUGAUUAUUUUAUAUUUUUCGGCAAAAUUUAUUUCUUAAAAAAAUAAACGAAGCGUAUAGUAUAUUACCUUUCUCAAAAAAAAAAAAAAAUUCUAAAAAAACAAAAAGUGUUUUACAAGGAGGAUAAUUUUUUUCAGGUGGUUGCAACUCUCUUUUUAUUCUUCUCCUAAUACAAGGAGGAUAAUUUUCUCAGGUGCAGUGACCACUCACCACAAGAUGUGCCUAUGGCAAUGGAUCCAAUUUGACUGACUUGCAGCUUGACUAUUUAGAUCUCAACCUUGCAGCAAGUUUCUGAUAAAGCUGUAUUAUUGUCUGUCUUACAGAAAUUGUCAGUUAGCUAGCAUUAGCUCUUUUGACUGUGUUAGAUAUGUCUCGAAUUCUAGAAUCAUAAGAUUUUCUAACUCUAUUCUGUUUUGAUUAUCCCAUUAAGUUAAAUUUAUAUUAUGCAUAAUCUAAUUAAGGUAUUCAUAUUCCUAAGGUAUUCAUAUUCUUAAUGAAUUUGUAUUUCUAAUCGUAUUAGAAUUUAAUUAGUCGCUAUUAUAAAUAUACCAUUUAUGAUUUGGUGCAGUAGAUUAGGCAGAUGAGAAAGAGUAUGGGUGUAUUUUUGGAAUUAGAGUUUUCUGAAAGAGUCAUAUUUUGUACACCAUCCUGAUUAUAAUGAAGAUUUCCGCUUCGCUCUAUCUUCACUCGUUGACGUAUGUUUGUGGCCGAGCCAUGUAAAUAUUGCGUGGUUUAUCUUUUUUUUCUCUCGUUCUCGAUUCUUUUUUGGUACUUUCGCACUCGACGAACUAGAUUUUUUUUGUUUCAAUUCUAACAUAACGUCACAAGCUCCAUCCACUUUGUAAUCUAACUAAAUCUCGAAUUAAAGCCGUCCAGAUCAGCACAGUCGCUAUAGUCGUGAAUAGUUAAAUAUGUUGGAUUGUUGACGCUAAUCAGUAAUUCCAAAAACUCGAACUAUUAGAAAUAUGCAAUAAACUCACUUAAAUCGUACAGACACAACACCCACGAGUCUCAAUAAUUAUUAUUUAUUCUAUAAGAAUCGAAUUUUAAUUUUCACUCCACUCUAGAAUAAAAAUGAUCCAAUCUAUUUAUGACUCAAUCUAGCUGCUUUGAGUUACGAAUUAAUUAAUCUAUUUCAAAAUAAACCUCUCAAAGCUUCAUUUCACAGACACCUUUUUCUCCCGUCCCUUCGUCACUCUCCUCUCUUUCAAAAUACUAAAUGUUCAUUUCCAUUUUGCAUUUCAGUAAUAAUCCAAAUAUUUUUAAACUAUUCGUCAUUCUAUAUUUUAUUCCAAUAUAAUAUUAUUUUAUUUUUUAUUUUUUAUUUUAAUUAUGAACCAAACACGUCCUUAUCAUAAGUAUCUUUCUGAGUAGCGCUUGGCCACAAAGAGCCCUCUACUUUAUAAACUAAGCUCCGUGUCAAAUUAAGGCGUUGAUGGGAACCUUUGACCGACACUUGGUUAAAUAGAUUCAUCACCAAUUGGAAUCCAUCCAUUUAGGCGGUAUACAAAACCAAGUUGAAUUCGAUAAAUCGAAUCGAACUUUUCUCCACAUAGAUUGCGGUGCAUCCAUAAUAUCCUACAACUAAAAAAAUAAAUGUAAAUUUUACGCCCUUUUAUUUAUUUAAAUUUAUUUUUUAUAUUAGUUCUAUUAUAUAUAUUUUUUAACUAAAAAUUUAUUUAAAUAUAAUAUCCAAAUUCUAGAAUGAGAGUAUUUAAAUAUUCACUUUUUUUUUAAGAUAUAUACAGAUAUCACUCCACUAAUCAAGAUUAAAAUAUGAUGGGACAGCCAAAGUAGGACAAACUACUUAUAAAUUUUCAAUUGGAUACGCGAGCAUACAUUUACGUGUUUGGUCUUAAUAGUAGGAUUUUUUUGCAUAUAACUUUCUCAAAAAAAAUUUAUAAAUAAUUGUAAUAAAUUUAUAUUUACAUAAACAUUUCUUUUCCUAUCACUUGAAUGCGCAGAUGACGUUUUUAAAUUGAAUACGGUGAUUCAAUUAAAAUAUUAGAGCACAGUGAUUGAAUCACCUAUAUUUUUUUUGUAUUUUUAUCACUCCUAAGUUAAAAAAAUAUUAGAGUGUGAAUAUGAAUGUGGUGAUUCAUUUAUCGUGUUUAAAUAUGGCAAUCUCGUAAUCGUGUUCAACUUAAAAAAUAUCGAAGCUUUCAUAAUAAAAAGAGAAUUAUGUAUGUAAAUAUAAAUUUACUAAAUAUAUUUAUAAAAAAAAAAUUGAAGUAGAUAAAUACACUCAAUAGUUAGCAUUGAACAUUUCAAAACACAAAAUUUAACCUUGCUGAAUUUAUUCAAAAAAUAAUAAAUAUAUAGGUAACCCGUCACCUUUCUCUCUAAAAAAAAUACUUUUUAAAGCAAAGUACAUAUCAUGCGCAAAACAAGCUGAACCCGAUGUGCUCCCGUAUAACGUCCCAAUAAUUUCAUAUUAAAUAAAAAAAAUUAAUUUAAAAUAUCUAUUUUAUAAUAAUAAUUUAAUUUAAAUAUUUUAAGUUAGUAAUUUGAACCAAUAAAUUAUUUUUACUAGCUAUUUUAAUAAUCUUAUAUCAAAUGAAAAAAUAUAUAUAUAUAUAAUCAAUCACUCACCCAUUUCCUCCACAUCUCCUCUCUCUCUCUCUCUCUCUCUCUCUCUGAGCUAGAAGCGAAAAUAAAAUAAAAUAAAAUAAAAAAAUGGCGAAGUACUUCACGCUAAACACCGGGGCGAAGAUCCCUUCCAUCGGCCUGGGCACCUACAGCGCCGCCCCCAACGUCGUCGGAGACGCCGUUAUCACCGCCGUUAAGGUUCUUCCUAAUUUAAAUUUUUUAAAAAAUUGUAUUAAACUCGUCCUUUUUUAUCUCUCAUAUCUCUAUGAAUUCUCGAUUCGAUUCUCCGAGGCUUCGAUUGAUUUUAUACCUUUCGCCUGAUUCGUUUGCAUGUGUGCUUUAAUUUGGAAGAAAUUAAUCUAAAUCCACAGAUCAAUAUGUAGUGUUGGAAAAAUCUCGCUAUUCUUAUAGUAAAAAUAAAUCUUGUAAAUAUUUUGAUUUGAAACCUCUAAAUAACUCUUUUAUAUAUAACAACGAAUACAAAACUCAACAAUAAUAUAUAUAUAUAUAUAUAUAGAGUCCGGCUAUGGUACUUGUAGAAGUACCAAGCACUUGGUGCUUGUAAAUAUUUUAUCCUUAGAUCUAUGUUUUUGAUCAUUUUUAUCCAUUAAAUUGUACUAUUCAACCAACCACCCACUCAACCCUAGGGAGCCCACAUUAUCCUAACCGCACAUCCUUUAAUCCAAGGGCUGAAAACUUACAAGCACUAAUGACUUGGUACUUUUAAAAGUAUAGGAGCUCAAUUCUAUAUAUAUAUAUAUAUAUCUAUAUAUAUAUAUAUAGAGUGAGGUUACUAUGCUAUCGGAAGCACGGAGCCUUUCGUGCUUCCAGCUCGUUUUCGAUGUUGCGACUUUCGAAUCGUCGAUCGGUUCCGUUAAACUUGAUCUAGAGUAUUUGAAGUAUCUAGAAAAUAAAUUUUAUGAUUUUACGAUAUCAUUUGCCUAGUGAACGAAGGGGUUCAAAAUCAACGGCUGAAAAUAAAAAUCUUAUAAAAUGUAAUAAUAUGACAUUAAAAUUUUAAAUCAAAGAUAUUGAUCUUGUUUUAUAUAGUAUAAAGAAUUUUCUAUCAAAAUUUCACGUGAUUUGGAUAUUUCUACACCGUUAAACUUGCAAACGGCUUACUACGGCCAUUGAAAUUUGUUGAUUUUGAGCCCAUUUGAUCACUAGGCAAAUGAUAUCGAAAAAUAAUAAAAUUUAUUUUCUAGGUACUCCAAAUACUCUAGAUCAAGUUUAACGGAGCCGAUCGACGAUUCGAAAGUCGCAACAUCGAAAACGAGCUGGAAGCACGGAAGGCUCCGUGCUUCCGAUAGCAUAGUAGCCUCACUCUAUAUAUAUAUAUAUAUAUGUGUGAAGAUAAAAAGUUUAGAUAUAGUAUGUGGGUCGAGAUGUGCUAUAUAUUAUCCUAAAAAUAAGAUUGCCUCUUCACGUGUGAGACUCCAGUAAUUAUUUCUAACAAUACAAUGACGACGAGUUAUCCGUCGGCCCGUCUCCAAGGUAGUGGAGAAGCUCAAGUGAAGGUGAAUCGAACCGGGUAGCUAAGACUGCACGCCGCUGCUGCUGCCCCAUGCCCGCCCGACCAUGCCUGGCUUGUGCCGUGCGUACGUGCAUGUGUUUAAUAGAUGGCACCACUCUGAUCAUUAUCACCCAACCAACUAGUUUGAAUGUAAUGGAGUAUACAAGGCGCUACUACUAAUGUCUUGAAUUUUUCAUUAUUUGGAACUAAAUUCAUAUAUAAUAAAUUAUGCACGGACUCUCAGGUACAGCUUUGUUUAAUUUGGUCUACCCAUGAGACCCAUAGGCUAAAAUAAAGUUUUAACUCACACUUUUAAAAUAAAUACCAACAAAAAUAGAAACACGCACUAGCGGUGGACAUUAUUUGUUUCAAUUCUCUUUUUCCCUUUUUUUUAAAGCGAAUAUUCGAGAUUCUACUUUUGUCUCCAUUCUUUUGAUUAUAUUAUUUGGAGCUGUUAAAAUAUUGAUUCUGCGAUCUAUUGCAAAUGUCAAAUAAAUAUGAAUGCCCAUCUCAGCGCCUUAGGUUUAUUUUUCAAUUCAUGAGCUGUAGGAAAUAGGAUUGAGAUUUGGAGCCUAAAAGCAGAAGCUACAAUUUACAUGUUGAGAUUCUCCCUAGAGAGAGAAGUUGUUGCGGGGAUCUUAAUAAAAUGCUUUUUCAAAUAGCAGUACGUAAGAGCACGUUAUUAAACAGUAUUAUACAAAAGUACUUACUUGGACCGGUCCACCCGACUAACUUUGUACUUUUGCACCGACCGUCCCUAGAGCAAGUGGCAAAGAACUUGGUGGUUGUUAUCCGAGACCCAAGUUCGAAUCUUAGUUGAUUCAGAUUUUUAACUAAGUUUAUUUCUAAAUGAAAUAAACGAAGCGGGUAGCGUGCUACCUAUCUCUCAAAAAAAAAAAAAAAAAGUUUGUACGUUUGCUUUCACACCUGCAGUCACUUUUAGCACAACAUUCCCAGAGUCUCUAUUAAGAAAUAGAAAUAAAAUUUUAGGCCUCAAUAUAGUAGCUUGAAACUUUUGAUUCAGCUCUAGAGAGAAACUGUUGGGAUCUUCAUCCUUGCGAUGUAGCUUUUAGGUUUUCCUCUCUUCUUAUCACAUAAUAAGAAUGCAAUGUAUCAAUGCUAUUGUCUCACAAUGAAAUCUUGUUAUUUGGAUUUUCUUUGUGGUGCCGAAAUUCUUAUUUAUCUCUGUAUAAAUGCAGGCUGGUUACCGACAUAUAGAUUGUGCCCGACUAUACAAGAAUGAGAAAGAGGUAAUUGUGGUUAUCGCGCUUUCAUUGAUACUGAUGCUUUUUUCCUUUGGAUUGUAACACCAUUUAUUGCAAUAGAAUUGCCGAUAUACUAUUGUAUAUUUGUUAUGUUAGGUAUGAUUAUGGAAUUUGGAAAUUUUCAAGAACCAGGAUUCAGGAAUUUAAAGAAAAAUCUGCACGAUCUUUGUUACUUUCAGCAUAUUUGUUGUCUAAAACAGGUCUAAGUUUAUCUCUGCCACUUCUGAUCUUAAAGCUGCAGCUUUUGCUUCCGCAAAGAAGUUAAGAGAAUUCGCGUUUAAAACAAUCGGAGAGAUCAGAUAGCCAACAAUAAACAUGUUUAUGCAGUGGGAUUCAUUUCAAGUAUCAGCUUGUUUUCUUAAGUGUACCUAGCCUUUUAUUUUAGUUCCAGUUCUUAAAUCUUACUAUAAACUAGUUUCACUAACCGCGGUACAACUAAAAUCUCCACUGCUGUAAUGAACUUUCCGUAUUCAUAGAUUGGCGACGCUCUAAAGAGCCUGUUUGAUGAUGGUGUAAUCAAGCGUGAAGAUCUGUUUAUCACCUCGAAACUUUGGUAGGUUUCUUUUCUUGGUUUAACAGACUAAAUAGUGUAGCACUUUCAUUCAUGUUUAAGAAAAACUAACUUUUCAGUUUUGCCGCUCUUUUUACUAAACAUUUUCUUAAAAGAAUGAACAUCUUAUUUUGCAGGUGCAGCGAUCUUGCCCCAGAAGAUGUACCGGAUGCAUUGGAUGCAACUUUAGCGGAUUUACAGCUCGACUAUAUAGAUCUUUAUCUUGUAAGUUUGUAUCCAUGGUUACAGCUCUGCUGAGUGCUAUUUCUUUGAGUCUGGUUGCGUAUCUGUUUGCGUUAAAUGAACCGGUUGCGUAUUUCUAUCAGCUCGAGUUUUUGGAAUUAAUGGUUAGCACCAACGAUCCAACAAUGUGAAGGAAUAACCAUGAUAGUUGUUUUAUCUUUUAUUACCAUGGGAGUUGUGAAUGCUAUUUUAGAAUCAAUGACUCUGCAAUAGUCGUAGCAACUUGGUAGCUUCAUUCUAACAUGUCAUUCCUAAUGUAAUGUGUGAGGAUUGUUAAUAUUAAGCUUUUCAGAAUAAUGGAAUUUAGAACUAGUACUUUCUUAAGGAGGCUUACACUGGAAAAAGAUGCAUAUAUGAUCUAAAAUUCUACUCCACUCUAAUCAGCAUUCAGCACUUGAAAAACAUUCUCCUCUCGAGAUGUACGCAUCAACAUUUUCUCUACUAUUUUAGAGAGAUCGCUGCGCUUUCCUCGCAGUUUCGUUCUUACUAAUCAUUCUGUUAUGUGUCAAAGAUUCACUGGCCUUUUCGGAUGAAGAAGGGAACUAGUGAUUUUAUCCCCGAAAACUUUCUCGAGCUCGAUAUGCGCGCCACGUGGACGGCAAUGGAAGAACUAUACGAUUCCGGUAAAGCUCAUGCGAUCGGAGUGAGUAAUUUUUCUUCCAAGAAAUUGGGGGAUUUGCUUUCCACAGCACGCGUGCCUCCCGCCGUGAAUCAAGUGGAGUGCCACCCUUACUGGCAACAAGCUAAGCUCAGAUCAUUUUGCCAAUCGCAGGGUGUUCAUAUCUCUGUGAGUGUUUUCAUAUACUCAUUUGGCUUAUUCCAGUGAUCUUUUUUUUGGUUAUUAUUUAAAAAUUGGUGGAUAUCCACUUUAGCCACAGAUUUUGUAGUAUCAAGUAACCGACCACUAUAAGACUUCGCGAUUCAUAAGUUUUGAGUGGUGAACUUAUAGACUUGAGUGAUAGAUGCAUUGUUCAAAGGUACUCUACUUUAGUUCCUAACAGUGCGCCGAUCAUUCAAAAAUUGUGCUUGGUAGUCCUAUAGUGGAAGGGCAAUUUAUGGUUCAAAAUUAGCAUAUUUUCUCUUUUGUUCUUGAUUGUCAAUUUAUUUUCCGACGGUCGUUCCUACAGGCAUAUAGACCAUUAGGUCAACCAGGGUCGACGCAGAAAACCAAAAUCUUAACAAACCCCAUCCUACAAACAGCAGCAGAGAGUCUGGGCAAAACUCCCGCGCAAAUAGCUCUUCGCUGGGGCCUUCAGAUGGGUCAAAGUGUGCUUCCCAAGAGCACAAACGAGUCGAGGAUGAAGGAGAAUUUGGAUCUGUUUGAUUGGUCGAUUCCUGAAGACUUGCUUGCCGAGAUCAGUGAAAUCGAACAGGCAAGUCGCAGCAUUGUUUUUGCGCAACAAUCUGAAUGAUCUGAACAUUUAUGUUUUAAGCUAGGAUGAGUGAUUUUAAGUUUUCAAGUAACGAAAAUAGAUAACUGCAGCUGUGCAUUUCUAUACUUGUUCAUUUUUUAGAAUGAACAGAGAAAAAUGCAGUAGUGGAGACCUUUUAUCACGAGUUUUGAAAAUUUAUCGUGAUAUCGGAAUAGAGUGGAAGUAAAGUCCUAUGUUUUAUGGUUAUUUUCAAUUACAUUUUAGCGGUAUAUUUGUUACUAUACCAUGUAGUAUUGUUGGUUUCUCAUCCACUUGCCAAAGUACCCCUUUUUUUUGCUUCCCACUAUGCACUACGAUUUAAACAGAUAGAAAAUAGGAGUCAGGAGUAUUAUGACAUUUGCAUUAUCAAAUAUUAGUAUAUUAUGUGUCAUGAAAACAAACUUUUUAAUUACAGCAAAUUUCGGUUUUGGAUGGUUUGUAUAAGUUCAUUUGACUGUGAUCUGCAGGUUAAGCUAGUUCGGGGAGAUUGGUUUAUCCACCCUCAGAGCAUUUACAAAAGUGUCGAGGAGCUCUGGGAUGGCGAAAUCUAAGCACUUAGAUGAAUUGUUUUUAGUUAAAGUAAAAUAUUAAUGUGUGUUGCGUUUUUCAUAAAGGAGUACCACUUCUCCCUUUUCGGACGAUUGUUGUUUCUCACAGUUACCAUGUACACUUCCUUGUUGGUUUUAAUUGAAUUUAUAUGCAAUAUGUAUCAACUUUCUCAUAUAUUUCAUGUGUUUAAGUGAGUUGCAUGAUCCAGACACGUUUUUUAUGAUGAUCAAGUGUUGUAUAUGAGAUCUUAAAUUUUCGUCUACUUUUACAAGUUGCUUUAAAGUUCUCAGAACAUGCAUAUCUUGUUUCCCUCAGAACAUAACACUGUUUUGACUUCUCAGAACUGACCUACUCUCUCGGGAAUGGCCGUGUAGUAAGGUUUUGGAGUGAUAUCUGGUUAGACCAACCCCCCCUGAGCACUCUCUUCCCAUGAGUAUACGACAAGGUGGUAAACAAGAAUCUCCGGGUUUCUGACUGCUGGGGUAGGAAUGGAUGGAGGUGGCGUAAAAUUUUGGCAGGGUUUAAUCCUACCUCUCUUGUCGAAUUGGAUUCGAUUAGAAUCCUUAAAGAGCUGCUCUCGGAGACGUCGAUCUACAAUGGACCGGACAAGGCCGUUUGGAGAUGGACACGGUCUGAUAAAUUUACGGUCAAAUCUCUUUAUAUCUUCCUGCAAGACGGGGGGCCCACAAUAGCUUUUUCGUCCAACUGUGGAAGAUUAAAGUACCCUUGAAAGUUAAGAUUUUUGUGUGGCUUGUGCUACUCAAAAAGAUAUUCACAGUGGACAACCUACGUAAGAGGGGCUGGGGUGGUUACGAAAGGUGUGUUUUCUGCCUCGAGGCUAGUGAGACGGUGGACCACCUUUUCUCGGAGUGCUAUAGUACUAAGACGCUGUUAAGUAGGUUUCUACCAAACAAGCAGUUCAUCUCUAACUGUACGUCAGUUAAUCUACUCUGGGAGGAUAGUAGGCGUAAAGAAGGUACCUUAGGAUUUAGGGAACUUGCUUCUAUCGCCGCGACGUGGUGGACGGUCUGGUUGGAACGAAACAAAAGAAUUUUUGAGAAUUCUAGACGCCCUAUUUCCCACCUAGCGUUUGAAUCCCGCUCACUCAGAGAUAUGUGGGCUCUUGUUCUCUAGUUUUUUUUUUUUUUUUUUUUUUUUUUUUUUUUUUUUUUUUUUUUUUUUUUUUUUUUUUUCAAGGCCCAUUUGCCUCAGUUUGCAGCUCAAUUCACUUUCUGAUUGAAUGAAGUGGUAGCAUGCUACCUUUUCUCAAAAAAAAGAACUAAAAAACUAAUUCAAUAAAGAACAUGAUAAUGUAGGAGGAUCAAAUCAUGAAAUAAAUAGACAUAUAAUAAAAUCUCUUCCUUUUUAUUGUCAAAGCAAGUCCUUAUAAAAACUGGAGAGAUGAAAUGAAUGGCACAAUAAUACAUAUAAAGGCCCAUUUCAUUAGCCCAAGUAAUCCUCUUACUACCUUAAAACAAACUUUACAAAAAAGCAUCAACUUAAGCCCACAAAAGCCCAUGGAUAUUAGGCCGAGUUUACUUUGGGCUGGGCCCAUAUUUUAGAAAAUCCCCCGGGCGCGUACCACGUACUACUAGACCUUUUUUUUAAAUUUUUUUUUUCCAUAUUGUUUUAGUAAUAUAUUGCUUUAAAAAGGAUCCUUACGUGGAGAAUUGAAAAUGAGCUACAUAACAACAAAAAUAAAUUAUACGCCGUAUUUUUUAUACGAAUUUUCCGUCGAAAUCAAAGAGGAUUCGGAUUUUGAGUUUUUGGCCUGAUGCAAUUUUGGAUAUGAAUUUUCAAAAUCCGCCAAAUUCGGGAUCAGGUUCUAAGUUCGGAUUUCAGAUUCGAAUUUUCAAGUCAGUCCCGAAUCCGACCCGUCGAAAUCUCUAGUAGCAAGGAUUCUGACAGGGCGGGUCCGUGGGCACAAAGACGUGUCUUUUUUUUUUUUCGACAAAUAGGAACUAAUUUGAGGCGGAUUGAUUUUUAUUUUAUUUUUUAUUUUCACUUAUUACUCCAAACUAAUUGGAGUAAAUUUUUUUUGACAGAUCAGGAAGGGCCAAGAAAAAAAAGAUGUCCGCACCCCUCGCUCCAUCUUUUUAGCGAAUUGGAACAGAUUUGAAAAAAAAAUUUCUAAAUUUUGACCCCCACUUACUGCCCCAUUCGACACGGAUCUGGCAAAGUAAAUCCAAGAAUACAACUCAGGAUAAUAUAAUAUGGUAUAAUAACCCACACUAUCAUUGAAAGGCUAACUCAAAAUAUUGUGAUAUACCCAACUGCAAAAGAGGUGAAUCUAUAGAUUCUAUACAGAUGACAAGAAACAGAACAAAAAAGAAAAAAUAAAAAUGUAACUGUUCAUCAUUUCACAAUGUUAAGAAAGGAAAAUUGGAUUAGAUUAUAUUAGGUUAAUAGACUAACAAAAAUUGCUGUUCACUAGAGCAGCACUAGAACACUAAAAAGAACCAAGAAAAAAAAAAAGAGAAAAAAAGAAAAAAAAAACUGGAUAAUACAGGAAUAAAUCAUGUUGAGAGGGCAUAUAGUGUGCCAUUAAAAUAGACAGACACCUCAGCCCUGAAUGAGGGCUCAGAAUUCUGAGCCUUCCAAAUUGCCGCAGCAACCCUUCUCCUGUUUCCAGAGCCAGAUUCCCCGGUUCACGCCUGAUGAUUUAUGAAAAUUAAAAAGAAAAAAAUAAUUACGAAGGGGAGGCACUCGACGAAAGAAUCGAGUGGACUAAUUCAAAUAGUUGUGUAGUUGGAGAAUAAGUUCAUCAGGUUGUCCAGAGCUUCAGGAUAGAAUUUCCGCGCAAAUAGAUAACAUGGUCUCUUCAUCCCAUUCCACAAGCAGGGUUUCCGCAUCACCACUUUCUGCAACAAAAACCAGAAAAAAAAAAAAAAAAGAGCCAGUUCUUCAAUAUAUAUUUAAAGUAUUUCAUGGUUACAACCAAAAAAAUUAUAAAUAUAAUGUAUGAUACCAACUGAACAUAGCAUAAAUGGUAACACAAAUAUCACUGCUGGUCUGUUUGAGGAAAAUUCUCAGAAGCAGCAGCAAAUUUGAUAAUUUUUGGACUAUGCUUAUGUAACGUAACGUCCUAUUACUAGGCUUUGUACUGAUAUGUGUGAAGAGGCAUUGAUGUUUUAUACCCAAUUAUCUUAUUAGAUUUGUAAACUAGUAGAUGGUUCGAUCACCGCAUCCAAUAAAAAGGGUAGAAGAAACUGUUCCACUUGAUAUAUCAUGGAAUGUGAACAUUAAGGAUCAGUUUGGAUGUUGAAACAAGUUAUCCUGUAAUAAUAACUUGUGCAAUGUGCGGAUAUAUUUGUGAUCGCACCACUUAAAAUAAACGAGGCCUUUAUGGCAAUGAGAAACAUAACCAUUACUUAAGUAAGAGCAUAGAGAUCAAUACGAGCAGAAAGGAAUUGCUAUGCAUACCUUUUCAUCGCUUGUAACAUGAAAACUCUCAUCAAUAGACUGCCGCAACACAAAAUCAGAAACUCCAAGUUAAAACCACAUAAAAUGGAGAAUACAACAAAUAUAGAGAGUAGCGGAGAGGUAAACAUACUGUUAUAUUCUUCAGGAGCUCAAAAGUGACAUCCUUAGCCCGAUAUGCCUUUGGAUGCCACUUUCCUUCUGACCAAUCAACAUGUGUCACUGACCAAUUGGCAAUUCCAGUUGGAUCAAUCAUCUGCACGUUUAAGUUCAUUAAAUUAGCAAGCGAAUUAAAGAAAGAAAUAGCAUAUAAAAGGGUCUGAAAGGUUUUAAUUUGCUUACAUAAAAUAGGGUUGGCAAAUAAUGCUCAUCAGCAUAGCAAUUGCGUCGUCCCUCCAUCCCUGGCUGUGAAUAAACAGAAGAAAAGCAAUAUCACCACAUGUUUUUGUAAUAGUAACCCCCAUUGACGAUUUCAAAACAGUUCAGCUUCUUCUAGCCAAAAAAUAGAGUUGUUCUACUUUUGUCUGGCAAAAACAACAUUACGGUCCAGCAAUCAUUCUUUUACAGUUAUACAACAUAUUUAAGCUUGUCGCUUUUACACUACCUUUGGUAUUUAAGUUAGGUUCUUUAAGAUUGUGCGAAGGAAUUGAAAGAUAUACAGCUGUACAAUUACCUUGCAAUAAAGCUUGAACUUUGUGUAGUAAAGACUGUCUGCCAGAAUCACCAAAGCAUGUUGCCGCUUGAUUGAGAACCACUGCAAUAUACAGACUCAAAAAUGUUUGAUACUAUCUUUUCUCAAAUUGCAAAAACAAGAGUCUGUCAAACAAUGGAGGCUCCUACUUAAGCAAAAUGACACUUAAUCUCUUUCGAAAAGUAAAGCCUCGAACAUUUAGUAUGGACUAAUUGUUGACAUAACCAAAGUGCCUGUUUAUGGCCUCCUCGUAUGGCCUUGCUGUUACCAUAUUUACUAUGGCUUCAUUGUUAACAUGAACCGACAACAAAUUGAUGCAAGGUAUUGGAAAAGGCAAACCUUAUUCUGAUUGUUAACAUAAGCCAAAAACAUCACCAAUUAUAAUUAGUCACUAGCUUAUGAACAGAAGCUAACACUUUUUUGCCUUCCUCAUAAAAACACCGUCAGUCAUUUUAUGCAUUUUGUAAGAAAAAAGUUACCUGUGCUCCCUUUCUAAAGUCGUCCUCCUCAAUCUCAGGUAGCAUGUGCUUAGAAUACCUGCCAUUGCCAUGUGGGCCAGGAUCCUGAAAACUGACAAUGAAGGCAGAUAACAUUAACAAGAUGAAACAAGGAAAUUUUCUUAAACAAUCAGUGAAAUUUUCUUAUCAGAUAGACAGCAACAGGUAGCAAUCUGUUACACCAAGAAGAUUCUCCUGAGAGUGUCAUCAUGGCUUCACAUCGGUCUUUUUGGUUUGAUAAGUGAUGCCUAAGAUUGUACCUUAAAUGGAACUAAAAAUAGAUUCGGCAGUAUAGUGUCUUACCAGUCAAUAAAGCUGAUAUUGGUUCCCAUCAGAUAAUUAUAUACAUAAUCGAAAUUAUGAAGCGGAACACAGCUGCCAUACAAACACAUUGGUAUUUAGUACACUAAUGCAAAGAAUCAAAAGAAAUUUCAAAAUACAGCAGAGUUGCUCAGUACCUGUCAGAAAGCAACACAAAAUGCUGGUUAUCACUGUCCUGGAGCGCAUUCGCCAGGAGUCUCUUUUCUGCAUCAACCAUCGAUACCUUCCCCCAUACCACCUGUAUAAAUAAACUUUUGAGUUCCAAAUAUAGUUUCGAAGAAGUAACAAGUGGAUAAAACUAGUCAAGCAGUAUAAAAAUUAUUGAGAAUAACAGGUAGCAAAUUUGCUAGGGAACUAACUAUCACAGAUUGACUAGCACAUUUCAUGUCUAUCCAUACAUAAGAAUAGGUUAGUCUAUCUAGCAGUACCUCUUAUGCACAAAUAGAAACAAGGGAAACCUCUGGGCAUAUAGAAAAAUGUGAAAUUAGAUAAAAAUCAAUAAGGAUAAAAGAAAGGUCACUCCUAAAGGGCCUCUGAUGUUACGGUAGUUUUGACAGGGUUCAUUCCUGAAGCCCCUCCACAAUAAAUUGCUGUUCUUCAACAUAAUUUUUUUCAACUAUAAUCAUUUAUAGUACAGGCUUAGAUACCACGAUCAGUAUAUGGACUGACAUACAACAACAGUUAAAAGAACAUACAAAAUAGAUAUCAAGUCGAUCUAAAAAAAAAAAAAAAUUGCAGGGUCAAACAUCAUCACAUAAGUUGUUAUGCCCACUCAUCAUAUAACUAACUUUCCCUAUUAUAUAACACAAUUAAAAAAAAUACUUUGUGAAUAUUGAUAAUGACUUAAAUCAGUCCAAUUACUGGUUAUGAUAAGUAACACAUUUCCAUGUUCAUCUCCUUCAUAUAUUAUGUUGAUAAAAAAGUCGAUCCUUCAUUCACAUGCGCAGGAAAAAAAAAUAGUGAGAUAUCUAAGAGAGACAGUACCUUCUCACUGCGAAUUUCUCGAUCACUAAAUAGAGGACUAACAUGUACAGGCUUUUCCCUUGACGCAUGAAUAUAAAUGGAGUAUCUUCCCUGAUGUCCCUAUAAAUACAAGUAGUAAACAUGUCAACAUACAGAAGUUUUACCUCACAAGAAAAGGCUUUAGUAAAACAUUGGCAGUACCAAUUUACCCACCUUCCCACAAAAUAUAGCAGCGUUGUUGCCAAGAGUGAUCAAAUUUUUUGUUAAAGAAAUUUCCUUUUUAACAUUAUCUUUUUAUGAUUAUUUUUGUUUGUGAAAGGGUUAAUUUGUAAGCAUAAUAAAGGUCUACAAUAAAGUUUGAAUAAAUAAAUAAAGAUGACAUAUUUUCACUCUUAGCUCACUUUUACCAACAACUAAGCCAUUAUAUAUCCACUUUAUACCCCGUCUGAAACAUAAUAUCACUGUUGACCCACUUUGGUACUAUUCAAUGUUCACCAUCUUUUCCUUAAUGGAACAAGUUGUUUUAGUCCUCAACAACUGAAGAUACAUGGCCUUUUUUUUUUUUUGAGAUAAAGGUAGCAUGCUACUGCUUCAUUCAUAGGGUAGGUGAAUUUAGCAUCGAUGGGAAACAACUGGGCUUCGGAAAAAAAAAAAAAAAAACAAAAUCCACUUAGCUAAACGCAAUAAGAGUCCCACAUGUUGUACAGAUCUCGUAGGUCUGCCAUCACCUGUCUCGCAGUGCACUUAAGAUACGUGGCCUUUGGAAGCAAAGAUCAUGUACUUUCAACAAAACUCUAUUUCUUCUCCGAAUAUGGGUACACUGUUCGGAAAGAGACUCCUGAAAGUCUACAAGCUGUUGCAGGGUUCUAGGCAAUACUCAAAUGCCUUAAAAAAUUCUUUCUAUCAUCUAAGCCAACAUUCAUACAUUGACAAACAAGUAACAAGUUCAAAUUUGAACCUUACCUGAAAAAAUUUCGCCCACAAUCUCUCAAACGGCAAUGUACCAGGAGUCAAGAACAUGAAAGCAAUUUUAGGAUUCUUCGACUGAACUGUAGGCAUAGCAAUAAGGUCACUAAAGACGACACGAGAAGCAAUCUCGCCAUCUGUUAGUACCCGCAAACGCUUAGCAGGAAGCCAAUCCUUGAAAGGACUGCAAACACUUGAAGCGAAGAAGUAGCAAGCAGAGUAACGCCGAGGUGGGUACACAUAAGCCCCAAUCAAUGUUACGCAGACCAAAGAAAUUAAGACGAUUAUCCACGUGGGUCGUCUAGAAGCAGCCCUGUGGCGGGGAGCCGGCAUGAUCGUCAUGUCCCUAAUGGCGAGUUCCCAUGUUUACGGUAUUUUCAUCUCAUACUUUUCUUUGCAAAAACCUCACCACCAUCAGCCACCAUUACUCUCUCCUUACUAUCAGCUUUAACGAUCAUCCACGAUGAGGUUAGACAACAACGAACAUUGCAAAGAGUGAAAAAUGCUAUGCUCUGAGUGUGAUUUCGCUGCAACAGCAAAAAAAAAAGAUAUAAUCCACACAGUUACAUACCAAAAAAGCAAAAAUUUGUCUUUUUCUUAAGCUAUGAUGGAAAAAAAGCCAAACCGAGAGAAUAAACCACAAUAAUAAGUAAUACUACAUUGUACUUCAAAAAAACAUUAGUAUGAGAACAAGGCUAAGCCCGUAGACAAAUCAUUAUAUUGUUCCAUCUACAAGCAAAAAUAUUUCAUUUUGGAAUACAAUGGAUCAGCAUUUCCUUUCAAAUAACUAGCUAUCCCUAAUGGAUUUUCUUCUUCGAAAUCCACAAAAGCUAUAUAAGCUUUCUCCAAUUACCAACUCAACUCCAUUUGCGAGAUUUUUUAGCUACAGAACCUCAAAUUACACAUCAAACCCCAUAAGAAUAGAAGAUUUAAUCACCAACACAAACAGAACAACAAGCAUCAACGAUUCCUGCGCUUUCCAGAGAGGAAAAAUUAGGAGGAAGAAAAAAAUAAUCACCAAAAACUAUAUAAAUUGUACUCUAAACAGAUCAAAUACGCACUUAAUCGCAUCAAAACAGGAAUCAAAUGCGAACUAAAAGGAGAUCGAUCGAUUACCUGUACGAAGUGAGCCGUAGAGUAGCUCGAAGAUCGGGGAUCUGCGAUGAAGACGAAGAGAGAGAGAGAGAGAGAGAGAGAGAGAGAGAGAGAGAGAGGUGAGUGAGAUCCGUUAGGGUAGGAGGGAAAGGGGAGACGUUGAUAAAAUAUGUACAAAUGGAGGGGAUUUUUGUGUAAAAAAGGAGAGAGAGAGAGAGAGAGAGAGAGAAGGGGAAUUGGAAGAGGUUAUGCUGUAGAGAGAGAAUAUUAGGGAAAAAAAAAAGAGAAGGAAAUAGUAAAAUGUAUGGAUUGUCGCUGUACAGUAUUAGUGUUAUGGUUGAGUACCUGUACUGUACAUAUAUUUGUCUUUUAGUUGUUAUGUACGUCAAAAGAAGUGUAACUAGUUUAUUUAUUUAUUUAUAAAAUGGCUCACUUAUUAUCCCUUUUACAAUAAAAAUUAGAAAAACUUCAAAUACCGUAUCUAUAAUUUUGCACUUUUUUAUUUUAGUACUCUGUGAUUGGUAUCAAUUUAGUACCAUGUGAUUUUAUUUUUUUCGUUAAAUCAGUGACAAAGUUAAAACUAAAGGAUACUAAAAUGAAUAUUCGAUAAAUCUAGAUGGAUUAUCUAGAGUUUUUUGUAUAUAAUUUAACGAAAUAUUAACGGAGGAGCUGACGAAAAGAGAAAAAUAAAAUCACAUGGUACUAACUUAUAUAUUUUAAAUCAGAGGAUACUAAAAUGAGAAAGUUCAAAACCAUGGAGUUGAUAUUUGAAGUUUAUCCUAAAAAUUAUAAAUUUUUUAAGAUAGUCCGAAUUGGAGGCUAAACUGUGAUAUAUAUAUAUAUAUAUAUAUAUAUAUAUAUAUAUAUAUAUAUAUGGAGUAGGGCUAGAAUACUUUUACAAGUAUCACCCAAGUGAUACUUGUGUGUUUUUAGCCCUUGGAUGGAGAGAUGUGAGGUUGAGAUGAUGGUGGUAGGUGGUGGUAGGUGGAAUAGUGUUUGAUCCAAAGGCUAUUUGUAUUCAAAAAGUAGAUCCAAUGGCUAAAAACGUGAUAGCAACAUGGGGAUGAUACUUGUAAAAGUAUCCUAGAUCAACUCUAUAUGUAUAUAUAUAUAAAAUUGAGGGACUGCUUGGUGAAAAGUAUAGGAUUGAAUUGUAAUAUUGAUAUUGUACAGGGUAUGCGCACACUCUUUAGUUUUUAGAGGCGUAUUAAUGCUAGGUAUUUUUAGCGCGCUCCCUCCGUUUCUUUCAUCUCCCUCUACAAUGCUCGUAUAGGAAUUAUCGGGUGGACCGAGUGUGCCACAUCAUCAUAACUGCAGUGUUAAAGAGCGUGGUACCGGGAUAUAAUACUUGAGUCCUUCCGUUGCUGAAGCUCUUCAUUUACCCAGUCUAGGAAACACGGUGCACGGAAAAUUAUUUAUUUAUUGUAUAUUUCAUGCUGUUGGGAUCAGUAGUUGCAAAAACUAUUUUUUUAAAAAAAAAAAUACGAAAACAAAAUAUUCACCUGUGAAAAAUAGGGUGGAACUGAGCAGAACUGAAUUAUGACCAAUUUUAAUUCAGUUAAUUAGAUUUGAGAAUUUUAAUUUUACUAAAUUUUUCUAAUUUAUUUGAUUUAAAAGGUAAGCUAGUGAAAUUAUUUUUAAGAAAAGAUUAGAUAACUAAAUCAGAAAUAGGAUAUUAUUUAGAUAAAUUUUAUACAUUUUCACCUUCCCUAAAUGUAUUAUAACAUGUUGCCAUCAAAAUAACCUCCUUAUCUUAAGCUCAUUAUUUUUAUUUUAUAUCCAUUAAAUGCCUAAAAAUAUAAUGUUUGGCAUUAUCUUAAUAAUUUAGUCAUUAUAUUUAGCCAUAAUGGAUAGGAAGCAUAUUAUAAUANUAUAUAUAUAUAUAUAUAUAUAUAUAUGAGUAGGGUUAUUAUAUUUUUGGGAAAACUUCAAAACACCCCCCUGUGGUUUCUAACUUUCUCACUUUAGUACCCUGUGGUUUAAAGUGUAUCAAUUUACUCCCCUGUGAUUUUAUUUUUAUCUUUUCCAUAGCUUUUCUCUUAAUAUUUCGUUAAAUUAUAUACAAAAAAACAUCAAAUAUCCAUCUAGAUUUACCGAAUAUUUACUUUAGUACCCUUUAAUUUUAAUUUUGUCACUGAUUUAAGGAAAAAAAAUAAUAAAAUUGAUAAAAAAAGAGAAAAACGAAACUAUAGGGGGGCAAGUUGAUACACUCUAAACAACAGGAUACUAAAGUGAGAAAAUGCGAAACCACGGGGGGGUUUCUGAAGUUAUCCCUAUAUUUUUAUGAGUAUAGAGUAUAUGAGUAUAGAGUCCUUCGUACUCAUAAGUUGUUUUUUAUGAUCCACAUCGUUAAACAUGAUCUAGAAUAUUUGAAAUUUAUAGAAAAUAAAUUUCGUAACUUUUCGAAAUCAUAAUAAAGUCCAUCAAGCGGGUAUAAAAUGAAUGAUUAAAAUCGAAUGACGUUCUAAAAAUAGAUGAUCGGAUCCUUUAAUUUAAGACCGGAGUCAUUAAUCUUUAUUUAGAUGGUGAAUAAAAUUUUCUAUUAANAUAUAUAUAUAUAGAAUUAUGCUACUAUACUAUUAAUAGUACUAAGCCUUUGGUACUCUUGAGUUUUGGGCCGUUGGAUAAAAGGAUGCGCGGUUAGGAUGAUAGUGGUCUCCGGUUAAAUUGAUAGUGGUCCCCUAGGGUUGAGUGGAUGGUUGGUUUAAUAGUAUAAUCUAACGGGUGGAAAUGAUCAAAGGGUAGAUCUAACGGUAGAAAACUCAAUAGUAUCAAGGGCUUAGUACUAUCGAUAGUAUAGUAGCCGGACUCUAUAUAUAAUUUGAAUGCUCUAAAUAAUAUUUAGCCGUAUGGAUUAUCGAUUCGAAAGUUCUAUUAUCAAAAUCGACUUAUGAGUAUGAAGAGAAUCGUACUUAUAAAAGUAUAUGAACCGGACUCUAUUUUACAGCCACUGAUAGAUGCCACUCAUCAGCAAACAGGACCCUUAGGCAAAUCUGAUUUGGUAUUAAUGUUUAAUAAUAAUAAUAAUAAUAAUAAUAAUAAUAAUAAUAAUAAUAGCCCUCUUAGCUGCCUAGUUUUAAUUAACGGUAUUCUCAGCCUUUAAAUUUAAUUAAAUUGCGAUUAGCCCAUACGUUAGAAUGUUGAGAGAGAGAGAGAGAGAGAGUGAAAGAACGUUCUAGGGAUUUGUGGCACGUGUCUUUCCAGAAAUGUCCUUGGCCAGAAAUGUCCUUGGCAAACAUUUUGCAAGUGGCAACAUUCUCAUAGGAAUGCAAUUUGGGUGGGGAUCCAUUUCUUUAGCGGGUCGGAGCUUAUCCCAACGGAUUAACUUUUAUUAUAAUUUUUGAUCAGAAAAGAGCGUAAAAAGGAUAAAAAGGAAGAGCACAUCGAAAACAAAAGAUAACAUCCUAUAAUUACUCGCAAGUAACACAGAAAAAGCUCUUCCUGUGGUGGCGUUUCUCUUUCACUCAUAGAAAGGGUUAAAAAGAGACAUAACCCAUUAGCCCAUUACUAACUGUCGCCCUAACCUUUCAAGAUAAUGACACAAAGCUUAUAAAAGAAAAAAAAAAAAAGAAAAAAAAGAAAAGAAAAGAAUUGUACCAUACUAGUUAGGUGUAGUUCUUCAAAGUUUGAAGCUAAAUAUUUAAUUUUCCAAAAACGUCUAGUUCGUCGCUUUAAUCCUAAUCACCUAGUUAGAAAAAAGAAAAAAAAAAAAAAAGUGCAUACGUACAUUAGCGCACCAUAAACCGAUUGACCAAUCGAUUGACCCGCAACCAAUCUUUUACUUGGUGAUCUAAUUUUUAAAUCGAGAAAAUAUGGCAACUCAACAACAAAGGGAUUGAAAUAUGAGAUGGGAGAAGUGACAAAUAGACAAACACAAUGAUACACCGGGCGCAGGCAAAUGAAUUUCCCCAAAAGUUUGAAUAUAAGUACCGAAUUUGAAAGUUUGAAAAUGAAGCGAAACGGUUUAUAGUUCAACAGUGCAAUUUUUUCAAAUAUAAAUAUGAAUCUAUUUAUGCUGCGGUUUUUUAAGAACCAACUGUGCAAAAGCAGUGCAUAGAUCAGAAAUUAAAUAAAAUGGAUCUUACACAGAAACAAGGGAGUAAACAAACAAUUGUUGGUUUCAGAUAUAGCAAAAGAGUUGCCGCUACAAAGGUAUGGAGCGCGGUGUUUGAUUAAUUAACAAUGCGCGUCCACCUCUUAUUGCAAGAUGGAAUAUAUAAAUCACAACCUAGUCAUCCGAAAUACUACACGAAAAACACGGAGGCCGAUAUAUCAAACAAUCGAAUGUUCAAAGGCAUUCAAAACUUCUAAAAACACACAGACCGCGCUGUGGUGUAAAACAUACGGGCAUGAUGAGAUUUGGAAGACAACAAAAAUGGGCAUUUGUGUUUUCACCUGGUAGGUGUACUGCCUAUUUACCGCAUUUCAUCCUCGAGGUUGCGGAAUGCAACGGUGAGGUCGUCGUAUAGUUUCUUGAACUUCGCAACCAAAGCCUCCUCGCCUUCUGCAGGGUCUUCGAAUUUCUGGGACCUGUAAAGGUGAAGAACAUGCACUCAAGCUUCAAGGAAUUGAUUUCAAAACCCAAGAAAAAAGAGCAAGCAAGCAUUUCGGGCCAAUCAUUAGACUCAAUUUUUCACCCUCUGCAACCAAAUUCAACUAUCUUAAGUUUCGUUAACUAAGAAAAUUAUACGAAGACCCUCGUACUAUUUGUCUAUUUCCUCAAAAUUUAGGUGGAUCCCAGAAUAAUAAGGUUUAAAGUUCUACUUAGGGAUAAAUCAGACAUGAAUAUGGGCCAUUGUUGACUUACACUAGACGGUAGAAAAGGUCACCCAACCGGUGUUUGAUGACACUGUAUGUUAUUUUCUGGCCAUCAGGACCUGCUGCCCGCUCCACCGCCUACAAAUGAAUCAAAAAUAGGGAAAAAAAUUCAUUGUUCUUAUGUGAAACAGGAAUCCAAAUAAGAAAACCAUAAUCCAAGAAUUUACCUGAUUUGCCAGAGUGUGGAAAUGGAUAAUGUUGCGCAUCAUCCAUACAGAUUUGUAGAAUGGGCAAAAUUUAUCGUAUCUGUUACAAUUGUUGAAGGUUUUAAGUUGAAAUUGACAAAAGCUCCACAUAUAACAGCAAGAAAUUAGUUAUGAUGAGUAACACUUACGGAGUAAAAGCAUUUUGUGCCAAGUAAUCCUCUCUAAGAAGCUUUGCAGUCUCCAGGGUAACUUUAUCAGUUUCCGCCAAUGCAUCUUUACCGACAAGCUGAGGUCAAAAUAAUAGUUCAAAAACCCCACUGAGUUUGCAUUAUACAAACUAAAAGAUAACAAACCAUAUUAAGGUUUAAAUCCGCACAAUUAUAACUUAAUUACACUACAUUAAUCAAAACUUACUGAUGGUACCAUGUGAAGAUAAAUUUAGAAAAAGGGAAAAACAGAUCAAAGGUUUGCAAUGAGUUCGGUAAGUGGGAAAAAGACAGCAGAUUCCAUACACUGGGAAAAGAUAUGAUAAAGAGUGCUGCACAACAUGAUGGGUUAUUCGAAAAUACGAAAUUUCCGUUCAAUCAUUGGAAAAUAUGAACUUUUCAUUUAUAAACUUAAAAACUAAAUGUUCAUAAAAGAAACGAGGAUUGAAAUUUAAAGGAUUUUGAAGAGAACAAAUAAAGUACAAUGCCAAAAAAAAUUACCUGGACAAUUUCAUUUAGAUCAUCUUCUCUUUGCAACACUUCACGAGCUUUUGUUCUAAUUUCAAUAAAAUCCGGAUCAAAUUUCUCAUAGAAUGAUUCCAGGGCCUACAGAGCAGUAAAUCAUUGAGUUACUUGAAUGAAUUCCACAGAAAAGAAAAAUUGCCAGUAAUAAACCCAGAAAAAAAGUACUUAUAACAUAAAUCUUAGGCAUCACAUCAGUUAUAAAAAAACAAAACAAAACAAGCAAUAAUGCAGUGUCCAUGUUAGUGCAUGUUCUUCCCACGAAUCAAACUGAUCAAAGCUCUCAAACUUGGAGAGUAAAGACAGCUCGACAUAGCAGUAACCUCAAUACACAACACCAAAUCAACAACAUAAAACUGGAUUUCCAAGUGCCAUUUAGUGAUCCAAAUUAAGAUAUGAUAUGAAACAUAAAAGAAGUAAUAAACUAUUUCCACAUUGAAUUGGAGUUCAAAAGAAAAGCAUAAAGGAAACCUUUGAGUAUUUUGAGUAAGAAAUAAGCCAAUUCACUGAUGGGAAAUGUUUCCUCUGAGCGAGUUUCUUAUCCAGCCCCCAGAAGACCUGCAAACAAGUUACUAGGGCAAGGGUUUAUCCAGCAGUUGGUUAUCAAUAAAGGAUACCAGUAUUAGUAACAGAAAUUAUCAUUAAGGUUCCUUUACCUGCACUAUACCAAGAGUUGCAGAAGUUACAGGAUCUGAAAAAUCACCUCCAGGAGGAGAAACAGCACCGACAAUGGUCACGCUGCCGGUUCUGUCCGGAGUGCCAAGACAUUUCACUUUGCCAGCACGUUCAUAGAACGACGCUAAACGGGCAGCCAAAUAUGCAGGAUAACCACUAUCUGCUGGCAUUUCAGCCUGAAGAGAUCACAUUUUUAUCAUUAAAUUUCAUAUUGCAACCAUUUAGAAAUUAGACAAUUUCUAUGUUUCACAAGAUUUUCAGGAGAGAGUGCCAUUUUGUUGCACAAGGCUUGGAUGAUGAUGAUGACUACUUUAUUUCAAGAUUAUAAAGUUGAAAAUGGAAAGGGAUAGACCAGGAAAUCUGUUUAAUUAUAAACGUCUCUCAGUGAGUGAGCCUAGUAAUUAUGAUCUUGAAUAUAAGUUAAUUUCUUUUAAUUGAUAGCCUUGCAAAAACACCAAGUACAUGGAUUUACAAAAUAUUCAUAAGACUAAUUUGUCUAUGCAAUAAACUUCCACUAUGUGAUAUCCUAAUGACCUAUCAUAUUUUCCUUCAUUAAGUAUUUAAUCGUAUUUUCUAUCUUGAUGAUGUAUUCAGCAAUUUCCGGGGCUUGGUACUCAGCUAAACUGCAUGUAUAGAUCAAUGAAGUUAUAAGAGAAUACUCAAAGUGAGACAAGAAUAUGACGGCCCAAGACGACAUUGUCAAGUAAUUUCAAAUAAUUUGGAGAAAAAAAGCAUUAGAAGUUGUAAAUGUUACUUAGGAAACAGAAGACUGAAAAGAGUAGAGUUCGUACCAGUCGUCCAGAAAUUUCACGUAAAGCUUCAGCCCAACGAGAGGUGGAGUCAGCCAUCAUACUAACAUUGUAGCCCAUAUCACGGAAGUAUUCAGCAAUUGUAAUGCCUGAAAACAUUUAAAUAACUAAUUUAAGAAAUGGAGUUUAAUUUAAAACUGGCACUUUUCCAAAAGGUGACAAUAAUUCGUACCUGUAUAUAUAGAGGCCUCACGAGCAGCCACAGGCAUGUUGGAAGUGUUAGCCACCAGUGUAGUUCGCUUCAUGACAGACUCCUCACGCCCAUCAGGUAAAGUCAUUGUCAAUUGGGGGAAGUCCAUGAGGACCUGGACAAAGUUUGAUGCAGAUUAUUACAUAUCAAAAGAUAAAGAGGAAUAAGCAAACAGAAAACUGAAGCAAACCUCAGCCAUCUCAUUUCCUCUCUCUCCACAGCCCACGUAUACAACAGUGUCUGAGUUAGAAUACUGUAGAAGGCGAUAAGCAUAAGUAGAAGAUAAAAGGCAACAGCAGCAGCCAGAAGACAACAUGAAAAGAAGAGGACAAUUUGUUGGUCAGUAAAAUAGUUACCUUUGAAAGCGCCUGACUAAUGACAGUCUUCCCACAACCAAAAGCUCCAGGAAUAGCACAAGUUCCUCCCAGAACAGAUGGGAAGAGGGCAUCAAGAACCCGCUGAAAAUAGUUUGAACACUUGAGUAUUGAAACCAUAAUGGACCAAAAAGAAAAGGAUAUUCUAUUCCAAUAUUUCUUUAUUAAUAAUUACCUGUCCUGUUAAAAGGGGUGUAUCGGCAGCAAGCUUUGCAGCUACAGGCCUUGGUGUACGUACAGGCCAUGUCUGCAAAAGAAGCAAGACAAUUUCAGAAUUAUGCAUCAAAAGGAAUUUGCACUUAAGAGAUAAGAAUACAACUCGUUAUAAACCUGAAGCAUAGUAAACUGUUUUUUGACACCUUGAAAUUCCAAUUCAAGUACAGUAUCCUGCACAUAAGGCAACAGAAAGGAUAUAGAAUUCGAAUAAGAGGAAGAAGUUCAAACCAUAUAAAGUGAAGAGAACUUAAGUUCAAAUUAUAAGUCCUUACAGACCUUGAGGGCAUAUUGACCAGCUGGUGCAACAUAAGUUAUUUUCCCCAUCGAUCCCGGAGGAAGUGUAACAUAGUGUUUCAUCAACGUAUUCUCAUAGACAGUCUGUUAACAUAAUGAAUGAAUACAGUCAGCUAUCUAGAGAUGAGAUAUAAUUUUAGGAGAUUCUCUACAAUAUUUUGCAACAACAUUCAUCAGCCAUUAUACAACAAUUGAAUGUAGCAAUAUAACUUACCGCAUAUAAAUCUCCACCAGUGAGAAGGUCUCCAACAGCUGAAAUAACCAUAAACAUCAAACUCUCAAAUUUAAGAAAGCAGAUUCAAUCAAAGUUUCAAAGUUAAGAAAUCAGAUUCAAAGAAUAAAAUCAGGAAUUUUGGAUCAUUGGUGUUCAAAUUAUUUGAUUUCCUUACCUAGCUUUUUUGGCUCAAAUUCCCACAAAAUAUCUUUGUCAAGGGCAGGCACUGAAACUCCACGAGGGAUGUAGACAUCACCAGACUUCAAAGCAAUAGUUUUUAAUGGGCGCUGCAUUGGAAAGAUCAAAGAAACAUCCUGGUCAGAAUAAUAUAGUCUCAAAUUCCGAAAGGUCAAGUAGAUGAACCAUCAAAAAUAAAGAAAGCACAAUUAUACAAAGUUUAAUACAUGAAAUUGUCCCUGAAGUAAAGUGAAAAAUAAUUACAACAAUAUAUAAUGAAGAAAACAAGCUUUUGUAAGCAUCACACAAAAUAUUAACAAACCUGAAUCCCAUCAAAAAUGUUGCCCAAAAUCCCAGGUCCCAACUCCACUGACAGAGGCUGCAGAGGGAAAAACCAUUGUGUAAAGGGAACCUACAUAAUUGGUAUGCAAUGUUUCAUGUACUUAAAAACAAUACUUUAUGAUAUACCUUUCGAGUUCUUAAAACAGGAUCAUUAACCGUCAAGCCAGCAGUUUCUUCAUACACUGAAAUUCAAGAGCAACAAUAUGUACCAUGAAUUCCAAAUUCUUUUGUACUAAGCCAGAAGGAAACAAGCAGUAAAAAGUGGAAUAAUGGCAUGGACUCGAGUAAUCUUUCAGGGUAUGAUAAAUAAGUUUCUCAUUGUUUACCCUGAAUAGUAGCUGAAUCUCCCUCAAGACGAAUAAUCUCUCCAAUAAGAUUAUCAUGACCGACACGAACAAGUUCAUACAUGGCAGCACCUCCCAUUCCAUCUGCCACGACGACUGGCCCAGAAACCUGAAAGUUUCCAGGAAAGUAAAAGGUCAAACAACUAAUUCAUUCCAGCGCAGUUAUCAAAGAAUAACACAAGUUGCAAUUAGAAAAUGAAGAAAAUCACAUAUCUAGUUAAAGCCCCAAUUCAGGAGUCAAAGAUGUAUUCGUCGCAGAACAUAAUCGCAUCUAAGUUGCUGCUAAAGAAGUAGAAACUAAAAAGACAAUAAAGGAUGAAGGUGGCAAUUAUACAAAAGUGGUGCUGUACAAGGACAAUGGCAGUAAGCAAACAAAAUAUGCAACUGAAUGAAGCCCCACAGAAUAACACUUUGCAGCUUAUAACAGAAAAGUGCAUUAGGUUCACUAUGUGCUAAAAACUGAGCUAACUUUAAGUAAGAGAAUCCUAAAUUUUGGGAGACCUGCUCUGCUCUCUAGAGCCAUGUCCACAUUUCUGAGUAGGGCAAGCACAUUUGCUUCCCACUUGCUUCUAUUGAAAAUGAUCCACAAUGAAGAAUUUUUUUUAUAAAUAAUCCUAUCAAUUUUUAUAAUUGUAAAAAUAGUUUUUUUAAAAAAAUAAUUAUAAAAAUAAACCUCUAAAUGCGGUGAAUGAUUCACCGCAUUCAUAACUUCUCAUUAGAAGUAGAAAAAGAAUAAAAGCGGUCGCUUUUAAAAGCGGUGAACCAUUCACCGCUUUUAUAGCACUAUAUUUACAAAUAAAUAUUUAACAGGUCUAUUUUUAAAAUAAAAUUUUAGAAAAAGACUAUUGCACUAAAAAAUCCCACAAUGAACCUUAGGAUGAUUAAUAUUCCAGCUAAUAAUAAAACAAAGGAGCCUGACCACAAGUUCGAAAAACCUUAAAUCUAUCACAAUGGAUUGUCUUAUUUGGCAAUGAUUAUAGUACAAACUGGUAUAUCAUAACAUGUAACUCAAAGUCCUCUAAUUGAUAUAUUGCAACGGCGUGAGAAUAUUUCCACUAGUAGAUCAUAUCUAAGAAGGUAACACAAUUUAAGUUUCACAAUCAAGCAUAGAGCAUUAGAACACCUCCCCCCCCUACCCCCCCAUCCCCCCUUCCCCCCCCCCAAUCCCCAAUCAAAGAAAAAAAAAACCACUCAAAUCCAAUGUAGUGGAAAUCCACUGUAGUGAAUUGUCUUAUACAAUCAGCGUAAAGUCAACUCUAAUUACUUUAGCAAAACCCUCUCCACCGAUCAGAAGAGGAAUAAAACAGUCUCAUUGCUUCCUUUUUCCAAAAACACAAAAUUUAGUUAGCCGUAUCUUAGUGUAGAUAGCACCUAAGGUUUCCAGCGGUCAAAGUCUAAGUGUAGAGCUCUCUCAACUAGAACACGAUCAAUCAAACCUAAAACAGCUAUAAAUAAAGGUGGAUCCCAAAUAGUUCCAUCUUAAUCUCAAAUCUCACAUGGGAAACAACACAAUCAUCGAUCAAAUGGAAGCGAACGAGCAUCAUCGGGAUACAAUAGUUGAGAUACGGAUAGCUCAAGAGCGAUACCUUACGGACGUAUCCGUACUCGCUCUCCUUCUCCGAGUCCUCGAAGGUCGUGAGGCGAUCGCCGUACGCCAUGGCCGAUGGGGAUCGGAGGAUCGCGGCGAGGAAGGGUGAGAUCGGAACCCUAGGUUCCGAAUCGGAGAUCGGAUCGGAGGAGAGGGGAUCAGGGACGAGGGUUUUGGUGGUGGAGAUAGAGGACGAGGACGAGAUCUAGAUGAGGAGAGAGAGCGAGAGAGAGAGAGAGAGAGGGGGGGGGAAUGAGACCAAAAAUGGAGGGAUGAGGAGGGUGCCACGAAUAAGGGAGAGAGAUGUGGUACACGGAAAUAACGCUAUGCGAGAGAGCGAUCGCAUCAGAUAAAAUUAAUUAAUUAAUUAAUUAAUUAAUUAAUCAGAAAAUAAAAAUGUAUGAAUAUGCCCCCCAUCUAUAGGAUAUUUUGAAAUUCCUCCCUCGAAGGUGAAAAUGUUUUAGAUUUGGAGUUAAGAAUUAGAACGCUUAUAAAAUUAUUACUUACAUAUUUUUAAUUUUUCACCCAUGAAUAUACUAUUUUCACCUACCCUCGCUAAACUCCAAGCAUCAAAGUGCUACAAAGGGUGAAGCACAUAAAUAGUAAUAUUUUUAUAGGGAAAAUUUCCUCUAUACCCUUCUAAAAGCAUCUGAUUUCAUAAAUGACCCUUUAAAAAUUGAAAUAUCAUGUAUACCCCUCAAAUUUAAAAAACUUUCAAAAAUACCCCUGCCAUCAAAUCCCCAUCCAUAUUAAAAUUAAUAAUAUUUAUAUUCCAACUUUACCCCUCUUAAUUAUUCAUUGGUCAAUUAAUAAUUCUAUUUUAUAAAUACCCUUUUUUAUAUUUCAAAAUUAAUUAAAUUCUAUCUAGACUAAAAAUUUAGUAAAAUUCAAUUGAUUUUAGUUUGAAAAAUUAUUCAUUUUAAUUAAAUAAAUAUUUCUAUUUGGAAUAAAUUAUAGUUAAAUUAAAUUUCAUUUUGCUUUAAUGUCAGAAUGAGAAGAUAAUUUAUUUUAGUUAUAUCUACUUUUUUUACUACAUCAAUUGUAAAGUAAUAAAUUUUUUUUAUUUGACUACUUAAUAUAGAGAAAAUUUGUUAUUAUGAAUACAUUACAACUAAGAGUAUUAGUAUAAAAUCUGACCUCAAAUAAAAAAAAUAGUUAUAUUAUGAAAAACAAACUAAAUUUUUGUAAUCAACGGACUUUACAUAAACCAAUAAUUGUUUUAAAUAAUAAAUUGAAAAAAAUUUAGAAAAUGAAAAUUUUUCACAAAUUAAGAUAAUUAUUCCAUUAAAUUUAAUACCUUUGACUAAUUUUCAGUUGAAACUAGCAAAAAUUCAUUUAAUAGUUAAUUAUUAUUAGCUAAUUAACCUAUUAAUUGAAUUUCUUUAUUAAUUGAUUAUAAUAUUUGAAAUCUAAAUGGAUAAAGAAAAUUUAAAAAAAUAUGGACCACAUACAUUUAUAUGCCCCUCAACAGUUGAGGGUAUUUUUGAAACAACGUAAAUAUUUGUAGGGGCAAUUUUGAUAUUUCAAAUUAUGUAAGGCAUCUACGAUAAUUUUGAACUUUUCAGGAGUACGAAUAAAAUUGCCCCAUUUUUAUAAGUAUUCCAGCAUAAUACUAAUAUCUAGCUUAAUGAUAAAUUAUUUUGAUCGAAUCGUGCUAUAUACACCGAUUCAGUGAGCCGAAUAGGCUCGAUGAAUAGCAGACAUAUAGUAUGAGAGAGAGCACAGUUUGUUGCAUGAGCCUCCCCUCAUCUAACAAGGAGCACCAAUUUAGCAUGCUCAAAUGGGAAAAAAUAUAUAUUUUUUGAUCCAACUAUCUAUUUUUUAAAAAAAAAUUAACUUUAUUAUCUAAACAUUUUAAUUCAUAUGACUUGAGUUAUUUAAUAGCUUUUCACUUCAAAGAUUGAAUAUAUAGUUUAUCUUAAUAGAUUUGUUUAGAUUAUCCAAUGUUUAUGUCAUUUGUUUUUAAUAGCUUCGAUAAAAAAAAAUUUACAUAUUUUACAUUACUAUAUUUUUAUAAAAACAGUAAUGUAUCCGAAUCUAUACAAGAUAAUCAUCAAAUAUUUUAAAUCAAGUAUCUUUAAAUUUUAGAUUCCCCAUGUUAAAAACUAGUACGAGUCAGACCAGAAUAUGUCAUAAUUCAGGCAAAUUUCCUUCUUUUUCACUUUUGUUUUUUUAUAUAUAAUUCAACUUUUAAUUGUUACCAUUUUGAUUAUUUUUAUCAAAUUAAUCAAAAAAGUUUAUUAAAUCUACUAAUAACUUUUAAAUUUAAUGUUUAAUUACUUCUGUUAACAAACGAUCAACAACUGAUAAAAUUAUUAAUUUAAGGAAUUUCUAGUUUACUCUUGGUUUAUUUUAAAUUAAAAAGAAAAUUAGAAAUUGAAGUUAAGGACCUGUAUGAAAUUGUACACAGUUGGGGGGGUUUCUGGUAACAAAACACAAUGAGUAAACUCCUUCUCUUAAUUGGUGAUUCAGAUCAUGUGCAAGCCUUAAUACAGGGGCAAAGAUUGUGUGGACAUAGUAUCCACAUUAACAAUUUUGGAGAUGCACUGGAUAGGCGCCACGUGGCUCACAGAACACUCAUCUCACCGUCCCUUUUUCUUUCUUAAAAUAAUAUGAUUUUUUUUUAGAGAAAAAAAAGUAGAGGAAGAAAAAGGGGAAUAAACGCCUGCGAGCCACGUGACACCCAUCGAGAACGUCUCCAAAGAUAUUAAUUUGGACACUAUGGCAGCAUUUGGUUAGGGGAUAGGAAUAGAAAUAUACCCUUAUCCCCCUUUUAUUCCAAAAUGCUAAUUUUUUAUCCGAGAAUAGCAAUUCUUAGUUAUCCCCACCAACACUUUCAUUUUCUAUAUAAAAUUAUUUAAAAUUAUUCUUAUUCCCGAAAACAACCCAAUUUUAAUCUAAACAUUAUUUUUCUUAUUCUCAUACUUAUAUCUAUUUAAUACUUAUAUCUAUUUAUGUAAUAGCUAAUUCUUGCUUAUAUCCGUACCAAACGGUACCUAUGUUCAUAAAAUUUUGCCCUUAAUACAGCAAACAGAGAUAAUGUGAAGAGCCGGUGGAAGAAUAUGUCUGCUUCGAAUCAUUUACCGCCACGUGUAAUCGAUCAGAUGCGUUUCAACACUACGCUCGCCAACAAUGGAAACACAUCCAACCGUAAAUUUUUCCCUUUUAGCGCCACUAAACUCUUUAAACCCGUAAACCGUACAUCCAUUAAAAAAUUAGCAAAAAAUUAGAAAAAGAAAAUCUCAAUAAACGUGAUUCGUGAUCCGCCAUAUCUGGAUCAGCAAACAGCCGUAGCAAAGGGGUAUUUUUUUCUUAUACAAAAACAACCGUAAUUGAAAAAACGCAUAAAUACUUCAACAUUUUUAGACCUUCUAAAUAGUCAAAAUAGAUACUCUCUACUUAUCACAUUACCAAACUAAGAUACAGACACGUAAACCUGCCACCAAUUUGAGUAAUUUAAGUAAAACUCGCUAAAGAAACAUAAAAUACAUGCAGUUCUAACCCAGCAAAUACGCAGAUAAACAGCUACUCAUCCGUGAAACAGUAAUCAACAAAGCCAACGAAGUCGGAAACGUAAAGAGGCACAACAAGUGUGCAUCUCUAACUUCAAAGGCGUGUUAGUUUAUGGAGGCAUCUAUUCACUGUACGUGUGUUCUUUAUAUUCCCUGAAAGGGCUCAUUCAAAGCUCCGCAGCCGUGCAUUUGUAUAUAUCGUACUGUAGCUUCGAAUCGAUUACAUGCCCUGAAAAAGAAAAUUUCUGUCAUUGUUUAUCUAAGGAAAUAACAAGAUAACUCUUAGCAUGCUACUGCUUAGUGGAUAAUAAGAUUAACUCUCAAAUCACAAAAAACAUAAUCUUCAACCACGACUGUUCAUGUCGAAUGAAAGCAACAUACGUGGAUGGCUAUUCAAAACGUUAAAUAUUGACAGAGGUUAAGAUUAGAUUAACUUAAUGCGAGUUUCUUAAUGUAAGCCUGCAAACUAGAAAUCUAUUCGAGCUGGUUUACUGUGUAAACUGGAUUCUGCAGACAUUCAAAUCAGGACAUCAUAUGGAACAGUCAGAAACUACGGUGAAGAACUUUGUGAAAAACCUGGAAAAAAAAAGAACAUCAAGGCGACAUAAUGUAGAAUCAGCUCAGACAUAAUGUAAAACUGAAAUCAGACAACUUGAUUCACUAGUGAGGAGAGGGAAAUUUCACUUAAAAUGCAAGUGUAGGCUUCGUUUGCUAUCGCUUAUGUUUGUUUGUUUGUUCCAAACUUAAAAUUCCUGUUCGGCUGAUGGAUUCUCUGCUCUUGUUAUUGCUGGUUGGUUUACAAACUAUUUCUUUAAGAAAAAAAAGCAAGGAAAUUUGCUACCAGUGUGUAGAUUGCACAUAAUUCGCCAUUUGACAACGCAUUCAAAUAUUCAAUUACCCAUAAUUUUGAGUUUGGAAAAAACAAAAGAAUCACCGUAAUAGAUACUAAACAAGGAUUUUAAUUUUAUUUUCCUUUUUAUGUGGCAAGUAAAUAGAUUUUCAACUCAUUUUUAUGUACCUUUAGAAGACAACUUGCUGGCCAUCAACUUGCUGGCCAUCAUAAGUUAUCGAGAAAAAAACAGAAUCAUAAUUGCCAGUCACAAGGAUGUUCAAUUACUAAUUGUACAGCAAUCAUACCUCCACAUAAACAUUCUUCUUAUCAACAUGCCUGCGCUUGUGCCUACGUGAUGGAUGGUUCGGACUACUCAUUUUUCCAGUUCUCCUUAUUCUUUUGCUGCAAUAUAUAAGUAUAACCAAUUAUGAUAUUUUCAUUCUUGGAAAGGGAGGGAAAGAUUAAAUAAGAAAAGCAAAGGAAAUGCUGAUCAACCGGUAAAUAACAGAAAAUAUUUUGUAUAGACAUAAAAGAGUCGAGGCAGACAAAGCAAUGCCCUGCAAUGAUGUGAUAAAGAAAGCCUUAGAUCGAAAUAAGACAUGAUAUUCAUUGUGAAAUCUAAGAAUAGAAAAGCAAAAAAAAUAAAAAAUAAAUAAAUCAUAACUUAUACCAUGCACCACCCCAGCAUUUUAGUUGCAAGAGGUUUUGUCAAUUCAUGCUUCUUCAGGUUCUCCUGGACAGCGUUGUGAACCUAUAAAUUGAAAAAUAAACAUUUCAGAUGUUUAGUUUGUGAACAUGCAGAGAUAGUCUACAGAAAGGUAUUAACUUCGCCAGUAACCCCGACCUUUUCCAACUGAAAUUGGUCAAUUUGGACAAAACGAAGCCAACAACUUCCGACUUGACUAGUUCUGCCCAAAUUUUAUAGAUAGAUUGAAACCCCUCUUUUCUAGGAAAAGAAUAUAUGCCCUGUAAUUUAUGCUUUCUGAGCUUGUUUUGUGCCAUUUGGGCCAAAAGUACGAAUUUUCAAAUAGAAGACUCCAGAUGCUUACAUAUUGAACUUUUUUUGCGGGAAAAAACAUAAAAAUAUUACAUCUCAGACAUUCAGGAAAAAAAUACACGUGUAUAACAGAUAUGUUAUAUUUUUCCAGCUUUGCUCAGUACUUGAGAUCUGGCAUCACAAAUUUGAAGAUGAAAGAUCAAGAGAGAUAUAUAAAAAUUGGAUACCUGGUGACGAUAUGAACUUGCUGUUUCUAAGAACUUCUGGAAAGACAAAACUACAUGCUUCUUGUAGGGCUCAAAGGCGAGGUGGACUUGUGCAACAUGAGGGCCAGUGAUUGUAGAAAUUUUGUUGAUGUGAGGCUCGGAUAAUUUCUUAGCUUCCUACAAAGGAAAGUUCAAAGAAGUAAAUAAACAAUUAACCGGUGGAAAACUAAAAGCGGUAGAGAGAUGCAGCUAAGUAAUUGCAUAAUAAAGCAAACCUUUAUUACCGCUAAGAUACCUGCACAAAUGGAUCUAUUUUUUCUUUUAAGUUGAUAAUAUGUUGGUUAAUGGUACUUCUGCAGGCUCCGUAUGCCUCAACUGUUUUACCAGAUGUCAUUCGAACAUAGUGCUCAGCAAAAUUUGCUAUGGUCAUGCAGUGAUCUCUGAUUGUAGGGAUCCAUACCUUCAAAAUAGGCCAAGACAAGGUACAAAACCAUGAGAUCCAUGCAUUACAAAAGAAUGUCCAGAAUUGAGAAGGAAGAAUAACAACUAUAUAUUGCACAUUAUGGUCAAAACAUACUGCACUAACAUGGACAUGGAGUAAUUAAGAGGAAAAGCUCACAGUUUUAGCUGCAUUAAGGUGUGGUUCCAUCCAUUUCCUUGACUGGGCUGCUUUCUCAGCAACCUGACAUAGGUUUGAGAUCCAAAUUUCCACUAAAUAAAGAUAUCAAGAUAUGAUGUUUCAAGCAUCUAUUCAAAUUACAACCUUUUCAUCCUAUAUGAUGCUAAAUUAUGUUAUCUAAAUCUGCAAAAGAUGCACCUUUUGCAGGCAAAAAUCAAUAGCAGGUCUUCCAUGUCUAUCCCAUCUAGUUGAUGCAAGAUCCUGCAAGAGGAAUUUAUAAAUAGAUGAGAGCAAGCACAUGUUUAAGUUUUUUUUAUGAAAAGAGUUUCAAAUGUACCUGAAAAUACACUACAUGCAUCACCAGCCAAUGUGGUAACCACACCCUAUAAAACUGAAAAAGAACAAUGGAAAUCUUCCUAACUAAGCAAGCUAAACAUAAGUUAAUAAAAAAAUUUUAAACCAAAUAAAACAACAAAAGAAUAAUGAUAAAGAAACAAACAUGUUGAAAGCACAUAAUAGCAUUCAAGACAGGUGAUUAUAUAAGCCAUCUAUCCCCAGCCUUAGUGGGCAAUGAGGGUUCCAAAUCAAAGAUUUCCACUCGUACCCUUAUUAAGGUUACAAACACCAGAAAACAACCAGAUAUGAAAACCAGAAAAGUUCAAACGAUAAGCAAGAUAAUAGAAGAAGAGAAGGAAAGAGAAAUACUGAAGGAAAGAUGCAUCACAGAUGGAUAUACGCCUUCUAGAAGAAGAGGAAAAUAAAAUUUCUAAGGACAUCAACCAAAAGUAAACUCACUGUUAUUGGCAUGUCUGUGGUAUUCCAUUGCUCCUAUUUUCUUUUCUUACUAGUCAUUUUUUUUUAGAGAGAGAAAGAUAGCAUGCUAUCUGCUUUGUUUAUUUUUUUUUAGAAAUAAACUUAGCUGAAAAUGUGAAACAACUAGGCUUUGUUUUCUUAUUGGUCUUGAGAUCCAAUUUCCAUGGUGCAAAUAAAUUUACUUCUUUCGGUGCAGAAGAAGAACUUCAGGAAAACAAUACAUCACCAAUGACUUUCCUACAUCAUAUCUGUUCCCAAAUAAAUAGAAAGAACCAAGCACAAGGAUCAUGCAGUGAAUUGGCAGUUCUACUCACAGCCAUUGAUCAGGGCUGAAAACUAAAUGCAAUUAUUUUUCCACUGAAUGCAACUAAACCUAAAUCAAAAUAGCCAGAUAUAACGCUCAUAUUUUACCUCCGUCAACUCCUUUGCUUUUGUUCUAGCUUCUCGUUGUGCUCCCAUUAAAUCCUUCUGCAAAAGAGUAAGAGUGGCACUAAAUUGCACGUAAGGAAAAAGGGGAGAUCCUUUUUACCAACCCACAGACCUCUGCUACUUGGAGAGAAUGUUCAAUAUCAUGAAUUUUUGCCCUUUGUUCACCAUUUGUCUUUUCAACCUAGAAAAAGAAGCAAAUCACGAGUAAAGAAGAUAUUACCAUAAGCAAUACUAUAACACAAAAAAAGGGAAUUAUUUCUAGACAAGCAUCUCUCCUAACAAUUUAUAGAUGGGAGAUAAAGUAGACAAGCCAAAAAUUCUACAAACAACAAUUCACAAUUCAUAUAUGUACUAAACAUCAGGGAGGGAAAAAAAACUUAUAUAUGUACUUACUUUUUCUAAUUUUCUGAUCAAUUUAUUUACUUCCUUCUCUGCUUCACUACCCCGAACCUCAAAAGCUUCUCUUCUCUUUCUUUUAAUCUCUAAUUCGCUUUGAAGCUUCGCAAUCUAGUAACAAAUUAACGAUCACAACCACAAUCAUUCAUUACAAAACAAAUUGCACUUUCUCCCGUACCCGGUUCUGAAGUUCUUCAUUGUGUGCGUGCACCUUUCGCACCGCUUCCUCGUCUUCCAUAACUCCUUUCUCCUACCAAAUAAUACCAAAGUUCAUAGAUCAAAUACAUUGCUUAAUCUCAGAUGAAUCGAAAGAAUAGGCACAGCAUUUUCACCUGAAGCAACGCUAUCUCACUGAUUAACGAACCAAUGUAAGCUGAUUUCUCCUUAAUUGCAUCUUCCAAAUGCCUGAUUUGAUCAUUCUUUCUCUUGAGCUCAUUUAUUCUUUCCAAAGCAGUGGAUUCUACAUAUAGGAAUAGUAGAACUCAUUGUUGUAACCCAAGUAACAAAUGUUCGCAUUUUUUUAAUACCUAAAUGUUGCUAAAAUCCAAAUUAAAGAUAUAAAACAUCAAUCAAGAGAGAUUAAGCUCGCACAUCAAGUAUGGAACCACAAAUUAACUAAUAAAUCACAGUUGCUUAUGAAGCAUAUACAAACAACUCCAAUCACAUCAAUUUUACAGAAGCAGUGAACUCUUACAUGAAUAAAUAGUAGAAUUUAUUAUUAUAAUCCAAAUUAACAAAUUUGUACCUAAAAAGUUGCUAAAAUUCGGAUUAAAGGGAUGAAACACGAAGAAGUUGAGAUUAAGAUCUCGUACUUAAAAAUAAAACAAGGCGAGAAAUUUGGACUCACCUAGGGAUUCGAUCUUCGAUUUAAGCUUCUCGAUUUCCUGUUUUGGCUUCAAAUCGAAGGCCUCUGAGUCGAUCGCGUCGCCUAUCUCGUAUUUAAUACCUAAAAAGUUGGUAAAAUCGAGAUUGAGAUACCGUAUUUAAAAAUAAAACAAUGCGAGAAAAUUGAGCUCACCUAGAGUUUCAAUCUUCGAUUUAAGCUUCUCGAUUUCCUGCUCUGGCUUCAAAUCCAAGGCUUCUGAAUCGAUCGCGUCCCCUAUCUCGUAUUUAAUACCUAAAAGGUUGCUAAAAUUCGAAUUAAAGAGAUGAAACACGAAAAAGUUGAAAUUAACACGUCGUAUUUAAAAAUAAACAAGGCGAGAAAUUUGAGCUCACCUAGGGUUUCGAUCUUCGAUUUGAGCUUCUCUAUUUCCUGAUUUGGCUUCAAAUCCAAGGCCUCUGUAUCAAUCACGUCGCCUAUCACCGCAUCGCAUCGGUCGCAACAGAGCAAUACGAAGAGUAGAAUCAGAACCACAAGAAGCUUCGAAUCCGCCAUUUUCGAAGGGGAACCUCUUCUACUUUUCGCUUUUCGAGAGGAGAGGGAGAGGAGAGGAGAACGCGGGAGAAUGAGGGGGAAGAGUUUUAUUUAUUUAUUUAUAUAUAUAUAUAUAUAUAUAUAUAUAU
rnacentral:lncRNA from 1 species